rnacentral:lncRNA from 1 species
CCACCUACAGUUUCUUGGAAGAUAACAAGAUGCUCAUAGGCUAAGAGCCUAAAACCAGUACCUACCAACAUAUAUUCUCCACAGGAGUGAAUUCCUGUUGCGCUGUUAUUUUGUUUUCAAUGUGGCUAGGAGUUUUUGUUUCAGGACUAUCGCAACGGUGAUCCACUGUUACCUACCGAAGUUCAUUUGCAGUGCGAAAUAAUUGUUUCUCCUAUGUUGCUACUGGAUUGUAAGUUUUGUACUGAUUUUCUGAGACCCUAUUGGAAGGAUAUUGUACACCUCUUCUGGUUCUUGCUCCCUAUAUAUUUGAUAAAUAAGCAAACAUUCUUCAUCUUUUGUGUCUAACAAUGUUAUUCAAGUGCUUGAAUGUUGUAUGUGUGCUCUAACUUCAGGAACUUUUAUGUUGAUUCUAAUGAUCCUUGACAUUGUGAUGGGCUGAUGCUGCAAUUGGCCGCUGACGGUAUGCCUGCCGAGGAGGCAAGGUAGUCCGACCAGCAUGGCACACGCUUUAAUGAGCGUUCUAUAGGCUAUCUAUGACCGGACUUAGCAAAUCCACUCCCUAAGGCCUUCUUUGGCACUAUAGUUUUCCCAGCCUAAGGGGUUCGGGGUGAGAGUUUUGGCACUAGAGUUUUCCCAACCUAAGGGCCCGUCCACCCCCUAAGGCCUUCUUUGGCACUAUAGUUUUCCCAGCCUAAGGGGUUCGGGGUGAGAGUUUUGGCACUAGAGUUUUCCCAACCUAAGGGCCCGUUCGGUAUACGGGAAUUUCAGAGGAACAUUUGGAAGAUUAGUUUCCGUAGGAAUUUUCGCCCAUAUUAUGUUCGGUUUGAAGGAAUCUAGGAUGUGCAUUCCACUGGAAAGUCAUGCUAGCUUGUACUUUUCACAGGAAAUUAAAACUCCAGUAGAACUUCGUGUUCUGGCGGAGGCCCGAGGCUAAGCGCAGAGCUGCAGUCUAGCCGAAUAAACAGUGCAGCUGUACAGAGCUGUGAGAGGCCCCGUCAACCUUGUUGUGAACAAUAAAAAAUGCUAUAAACUAAUUAAUCAACACUCAAUGCCCACCCUCCCAUCGUACUGAACAGUGUCAAAUUGGGCUGGUCCAAGGCUUUUUUCCUGCAAACCGAACAAUCCAAUUUUUUUGCUUCCUACAUUUGAAGGCUCCAUAGGUUUCCUAUUCACACACUACUCUAUUCCUGUGCAGUUAUUUUUUCCAUUGUUUUUUCUACCUCUAUACCGAACGGAGCCUAAGGCUUUGUUUGACAGGUAGGGAUUGUGGAGGUUUUGGGAGGGGAUUUCAGGGGAUUUGGCGAAUCCUCCUCUUUCACCCAAUUCCCUUGAACCUCAAGUCCUCCUCCAGCCAUACACCCCCCUCCAGCCACACAUCCCAUUCGCGAGCACGGCUGCUGCCAAUGGCGACACGAGGAGAAGGUUCCAAUCUCGCACGUGGCUCCAAUUCCACGAGGGCCUCCUCAUGCCUUCUGACCCGUGUGGAUCGAGGUGAAUCCAGGGGGAUCAGGUGGAUUGGGCUAGCGAAACCUCGUCUACCAAAUGGGCCAAGGAGGAUUGUAGAGGGUUCUGGGCCACGCAUGGAAAAUCCACUCGAAACCCCCUGAAAUCUCUCGUGUCAAACGAAGCCCAAGGUCCUGUCUUGAUGAAGACAGUGAGUUGAAGCUACUCACCAGCAGGUGUGAGACAACCUCUGUGCAGUCACUGCCUCAAUCAGUUCGACUUCUUCAGUCUCAACUUAAAGCAGAAAGACUUGCUUCAGCUCAGCUCCGACUUGAAGUUAAAGAUGUAAUGAAGAUGUCAGAGGACUGCCUUGCGCACUAUUGUGCCAUACAACUAGGGAUGAAGCAUCUAUCGUUGACACAACUGAGGUCUAAUCAGCUUCUUCGGCCGUUUGCGGGGCCCGACCUGGCCAGGCCUAGUGCCUUCUGAAGUGCUCUCGGUUUUGUAUAUUCUUUUGUCGGCGUGUUUAUUUGCACUGGUGGCGAACUUUGAUGCCCAGUGGAUGUAAUAUGUGUAAUAGCCGUGAUAGCCUAGCGUAAGUUGCUUGCUUAUUUAUUUCCUUGUUGUCUUGUUUAUUUGUUUGCUUGUAGUCAGUGAAGUUCUUUUUCCGUAGUUUGCUAGUGGCCGCUGUCGGUGUCAAAACCGGUGGAUCUCGGGUAGGGGGUCCCGAUCUGUGCGUCUUAGGCUGAUGGUAACAGGAAGCAAGGGACACAAUGUUUACCCAGGUUCGGGCCCUCUCGAUGGAGGUAAAACCCUACUUCCUGCUUGAUUAAUAUUGAAGAUAUGAGUAGUACAAGAGUAGAUCUACCACGAGAUCGUAGAGGCUAAGCCCUAGGAGCUAGCCUAUGAUGGUAUGAUUGUAAUUGUGAUCGACCUUCUAAGGACCAACCUCUCCGGUUUAUAUAGACACCGGAGAGGGCUAGGGUUUACGUGGAGUCGGUUACAAGGAAGAAAACACAAUAUCCGGAUCGCCAAGCUUGUCUUCCACGCAAAGGAGAGUCCCAUCCGGACACGGGACGGAGUCUUGAGUCUUGUAUCUUCACGCUUCAAUAGUUCGGACGAUGUAUAUAGUUCGGCUGUCUGGAUAACCCCUAAUCCAGGACUCCUUCAGUAGCCCCUGAACCAGGCUUCAAUGACGAUGAGUCCGACACGCAAUUUUGUCUUCGGCAUUGCAAGGCGGGUUCCUUCUCCGAAUACUCCAAAGUAACCGUCGAACACGUAGACCGUGUCUGGAUCUGCAAGAUGAUCUUCACAUAUCACCGUAGAGAGAAUGAUAUUUCAGCUGACAAUUUUUUAGAUGACGUGAUAUGUCCUUACGGUCGGGUUAUUAUUCGAACCGUUUUCCCAUAACCAGCCUCAGCGCAUAUUGCGAGGCGGUUUCCUUGACAUGUUUAGCCAAAGCAGAGAUCGUGUCCCCUUAUCAUGGGAUUCUCAUUAAUACGGGUAUGGAUAGUCCAACCGCACUGCUAAUCACGGCGAGUGGGGAGGAGCGGGUUCCACCAGGCAAGUGGGGAGGCGCAAAAAGCUUUUGCCCUCUCUAUAAAGAGAUAAGGUCUCUUCCUCUUUACCCACGCCUUCUCCUUCCGCUAGCCCAUUCCCCUCUGUUCGAGCCCUAACGCCCAAGCAUUCUUCUUUUCCAUCAAAGAAAGGCUUUCCAAAGAUGUCCGGAUCCGGAGCAGGAGGCAGAUGGAUGGCCUCUACCGUCCAGGAGAAGGAUAUCAAGAAGCUCUGGGAAGCCGGGUAUCUGGCCAAGAAGAUCGGCCACCGUCUCCCACCGGCGGGACAGGUCGUCCCUACUCCGGAGCCUCACGAGAGAGUCGUGUUCCUUCCCCAUUUUGUUCGCGGGCUCGGGUUUCCCCUCCACCCAUUUGUUCGUGGAGUCAUGUAUUACUAUGGGAUCGAUUUUCAUGAUCUUUCCCCCAAUUCUUUCCUCAAUAUCUCGACGUUCAUCGUCGUGUGCGAGGCCUUUCUCCGGAUUUCGCCUCACUUCGGCCUGUGGCUGAAGAUUUUCAAUGUGAAGCCCAAGGUGGUGAGUGGCAAACACGCCGAGUGCGGCGGUGCCAUGGUGAGCAAGAUGCCAAAGGCCGUUUGGCCGAAGGGUGCCUUCAACGACUUCGUUAAGGAGUGGCAGCAGCAGUGGUUCUAUAUCACCGAACCACGCGACAAAAAGUGGGCUGCAGCCCCUGAAUUCAGAUCCGGAGCCCCACCGCGGCUCACGUCCUGGCCCAAGAAGGGCCUAAACUGGUCCUCGUCCGAUGAGCUAUCACUUCUCCAGACGCGUGUUCAGAGCGUGGUCGACAAGGACGUCAAACUCGUCGACGUAGUCCAGGUGAUGCUAGUUCGCCUAGUUCUCCCUUGCCAGCGCCGAGCCUGCACUUUGUGGGAGUUCGACCCAACCAAGCAUCAAACCCUUCGGGAGCUCUAUGAUUCCUCCCACAAGGAUAUAUGGAAGGUGCUCUUUAAGUCCGGCAAGUCGUGGCCGGGCUCCACCGAGGACCGUGGCUAUCAAUUAUCCCAUUCUGCAAGCCCGGUAAGUUACAGCCACGCUCUGUCCAUUCAUGCUUCAGUUGGCAUGUCCUGAGGGAGACAUUUUCAUUGUGUUUCAUCGUGACCCCAGGGAUGGAUAAAGAAGGUGGAGCGGAUACAUUGUCCGACCCUGCUGCCGGAGGAACCAACCGGACCUCUUCUGGCGAAGAUGCUGGUCCCCGUGCCUUACGAGGCGCCAAAGAAAGAGGCCUCCAAGAAGGUCAAAAAGACCCGGAGUGGCCUCCGUCGCCGCGAGGCUUCGGACGCAAAAUGCGAAGACUCCAGCGAUGCUCCUUCUUCCGAAGACGAAGAGGAGGAAGUAGAGGAGGACGAGCCUCAACCUGAAGGUGGGAAGAAGAGGGCGGCUUCCCCGUCCCUGGAGGCCGAAUCGCCCAAGAGGGGGAGAAGUUCCCACCCAGAGGCAUCCACCACGGCUGCCGAUAACAGCCCGGAGUGGGAUCCCAGGGCCCAGCCCCUGGAGAAAUCGUAAGUAUCCAAAAUCCGAAUGCGCCUAUGCAUCCAGGGUCGUUUGGGUACAGUAGUUUUAACUGCCGCCAUAUCUCGUACAGCCCUGCGGGUCUCGUGCCGGACAGUCCUCAUUGGAGGAUUCGCUGAGCUCAGACGCUGUGGCGAGCGAGACGCCUCCGGAGGCUCCUUCCCCGAAGUCCAGGCACGACACUGAGGUGUCAUCUCAAAGAGACCCGGACCAGGGGAGGCAUGUCUCUGGAGCCAGACACAUGGGGGCAGCAGCCCCACGGCGUGUCGAUGAUGGGGGCGAUCUCGGGUUCGGACCACAGCCGGAUAAGGUCCUGGAGACCUCUAAGGCUCCAGGAUCAGGCGAGUGGCCACCUUCAACGGAGGAAGGCUUGCCUACUCCGCCGGCAACCUCUGUCCACGUAGAGCUGCCGGGUGGUCUAUCGACAGCGUUAAAGAACGCGUCUAUCAUUGAUGAACAUUGGACCCUCAUGGGUGCGGUGGUUGGAAAGAUUCAGUCUGCCGAAAGCGGGAUGAAUGAGUCCUGCCUUGGCCUUAUAAAGGCUUUUGAGGUAUGUUUUCUAAGGAACCUUUGAGGAAUCAUAAUAAUAUGAGUAGUAGCCCCUGAUACACUGUCCGGCGAAAGAGGGAGUGAAAGAUCGAGGAUGUCGCCUAGAGGGGGGGGGGUGAAUAGGCGCUUUAAAAUAAUUACGGUUUAGGCUUGAACAAAUGCGGAAUAAACCUAGCGGUUAAUUUGCCAAGCACAAAACCUACAACAACUAGGCUCACCUAUGUGCACCAACAACUUAUGCUAAGCAAGAUAAGCAACUAUGUGAUAGCAAGAUAUAGACAAAGAACAAUAUGGCUAUCACAAAGUAAAGUGAAUAAGUAAAGGGGCUCGGGUAAGAGAUAACCGAGGCACGCGGAGACGAUGAUGUAUCCCGAAGUUCACACCCUUGCGGAUGCUAAUCUCCGUUUGGAGCGGUGUGGAGGCACAAUGCUCCCCAAGAAGCCACUAGGGCCACCGUAAUCUCCUCACGCCCUCGCACAAUGCAAGAUGACGUGAUUCCACUAAGGGACCCUUGAGGGCGGUCACCGAACCCGUACAAAUGGCAACCCUUGGGGGCGGUCACCCAACCCGUACACUUUGGCAACCCUUGGGGGCAGUCACCGGUACCCAUCAAAUUGCUCGGGGCGAUCUCCACAACCUAAUUGGAGACCCCGACGCUUGCCCGGAGCUUUACACCACAAUGAUUGAGCUACGAACACCACCAACCGUCUAGGGCACCAAGGCACCAAAGAGGAACAAGCUCUAGGGUGCCCAAACACCCAAGAGUAAUAAGCUUCUCAAACUUCACUUCCACGUAUCACCGUGGAGAACUCAAACCGAUGCACCAAAUGCAAUGGCAAGGGCACAAGGAGUGCCCAAGUCCUUCUCUCCCAAAUCCCACCAAAGCAACUAAUGCUAGGGAGGAAAAUGAGAGGAAGAACGAAAGAAGAACACGAAGAACUCCAAGAUCUAGAUCCAAGGGGUUCCUCUCACUUAGAGGAGAAAGUGAUUGGUGGAAACAUGGAUCUAGAUCUCCUCUCUCUUUUCCCUCAAGAACUAGCAAGAAUCCAUGGAGGGAUUGAGAGUUAGCAAGCUCGAAGAAGGUCAACAAUGGGGGAAGAACACGAGCUCAAAGGAUAAGGUUCAUUGGGGAAGAAGACCCCCUUUUAUAGGACCUCCCGAAUCCAACCGUUAUGUGCUCAGGUCGUGCACAAGCGGUACUACUGCUUGGAGGAGCGGUACUGCCGCCUAGCACGGCCAAAACAGCCCAAUCGAGAGAGAAAACACGAGUUUUUUGGUCCGGAGCGGUACUACCGCUUAGGAGCCACGGUAGUACUACUCUGGAACGGUACUACCGCUCAGGAACCGCGGUACUACCGCUCUGGAGCGGUAGUAAACAAAUUACAUCCGCUCUAGUCGCGGUAGUACCGCUGCAGCCUUUACCAAAACAGCCACAACUUUUGCAAACGGACUCCGAAUUCAACGAAACCAAGUUUGUUGGAAAGCUAACGACAUGGGCUAACACAAUAUUGAUAGAAAUAUCAAGAAUAAGGAAAUGAGAAAAGUCCCAUAAGAAAAUGGUGAGAACCCUUCAUCGGAUAAGACCGGUAAAACCUCCAACACCGAAAACAUCAUAGAAGACGCAUGUGAACUCCGUUUUCGAUGAACUCAAGCUUGUCAUCAAGAUGACCAUAAGCUUUAAGACUCAAAAAUAUAACCAAACAAGAACCAAGAAAAAUGAUGCAAGGAUGCAAAUGUUUGAGCUCUCUACUAAUGAUACGAUCAAGCUACCAACUUGAGAGCCCCCCUUGAUAGUACGGCAAAUGAUCCUAUAGCUCGGUCUCCCAACUACCACCACAAGACCGGUAAAAUAGAAAACCUAUCAAGGGAAAACCUUUGCCUUGCACAUGGUCCACUUGAGCUAGAUGAAGACGAUCUUGACUCCCUCAAGUUGGACCACCUUUCUUGAUUGCGUUGGCUCGAUGAAGACUAGAUGAUUGCUCCCCCAUAGUUCACUAUGGGUGAGCCACUCUUCGGCACAUCUUCACAAGUCCAUUGACACCACAAUGGAUGUCAAGAUUCAAGCACUUGAUCUCUUCGUGAUGCUCCACCUGAACUUGCACACGGCAAUCUUGACGAUGAUCACUACUUGAUGUCAUCCUUUCCAUGGGUUGUAUGAUAUCUUCCUCUUGACGCAAGCCCAUGGAUACGUACCUAACCCCACAUACAACUCUCACAUAGACCAUGGGUUAGUACAUAAAGUGCAAUGGACAAUGCUUACCAUACCAUGGGAUCACUUGAUCCCUCUCGGUACAUCUUCUAUGCUUUGUGAGUUGAUCAACUUGAUUCACUCUUGACUUAGUCUUGAUCAACCUUGAAUCUUUGCAACUCUCUUCAUUUGGAUGAUGUCUUGAAGGUAAACGUGAAUGAUCACACAACCUUCUUCUUCAAGACAUGCUUGCAAUAAGCUCCACACUCAUAUGACCAAUCUUUGGAUAAAUCCUUAAUAGCACCUUAGUCAUCACAAACUCUCAUUGAAACCAACAAAUGGACUCCAAUAAAGGCCUAUGGGAAAACCCUUCAAAUAUAACUCAAGGCAACCAUUAGUCCAUAGAGAUUGUCAUCAAUUACCAAAACCACACAUGGGGGCACCACAUGUCCUUUCAAUCUCCCCCAUUUUGGUAAUUGAUGACAAUCACUUUCAAGAGAGUUUAUACAAGGAAUUAUGCAUCACCAUUCAAUGCAGCAACCAAUAAUGCAUGCAUAUGAGAUGCAAAUGCUAAGGAAACAAAAACCAAAGCUACUCCACAAUACUCUCUAAAACUUCUCCCCCAUUGGCAUCGAUUGACAAAAUGGACGAAAAUCUUAGAAGGCCAAUAUAAAUUGUGGUCCUCCAUAAAUUGUGUAUUUCUCAACAAGAGAGUGGAAUGCAAUACACAUAUCCAACUGCCAAUACUUGGAGGAAGACAAACUAUAUUGAUGCCCAAAGAUUGCAACAGAAAGAUAUGCCACAAAGACAUAACAAAGAGAGACACAAGCAAUUAGAAGAUACCAAUUGAAGCAAGCAAUCAACGGAUAUCAAUUGAACCAACUAGACCAAUGAUCCUACAUGCCACAAGAAUAAAGAUAUUAUGAAAAGCGCAAAGGAGUGUUCUAAAGAAACUAGAGAAGCUCCCCAUGAUUUGUGCACACAUAAGAAUUUUUGUAUUUGAAUACAAAGUGCACAAAAUAGGAUCAUAGCUCCCCCAAAAUCAAUAGAAACUCACAUCCAGUGCAAGUGAGCAUAUAGGAAACAAAGCCUAGCGCUUGCAACAAGCACAUGGUUGAGCAACAUGUAAAAGAGGCAACUUAAGAAUAGGCUCAACCAAAAUGAUGUGUGUGAGUCAUGGCAAAGCACUUGAGAAGACUAAGAUUAGGAUGAGAAUUAAGCAUCAACAUAGUCUUGAAAGAAUGAGGCACAUGGUGCAAGGCCUAUCAUUCCCACACACAACUGGCAAAUGGGUUCACAAGCUUACUAAUAAGCAAAAGAGAACCUAUGCUUGUGACAACCCGUGGUGAAGAUAGACGAGGGGAGGCUCAUCAAGACGAGGGAUACCAAUUAAGAUGGCAAAAACCUCGUAAAGAUAAGCAAGAGGAAAAUAAUCUUCACCACACAAGAGUGCAACAAGAUGCAACGAUAGAGGACACGCACUCAAGGCAAAAGCUUUCACGGAGCCACCAAAGAAAUAACAUAAGAAGACAAGAUGGACGUGAAAGAAAAGAUAUCAACUAGAGAUGUAAUUUCUCUGAAGUGUAUAAGGUUCUAUGUAGACGAAAUCAUGAUGAUAUAUAUAUCUACAAAGAAGGAUGUACACCCCAAAUAUUUUACAACACGAAGGAACAAGAUAUCCACAAGGAAGUCAUAAAUAUACCAAUAAGAUAUUUGCUUGAAAGCAUAGCACAUGGCUAGAUAUGGUCUUAUUGUAUAUAAAUGAAGUCCAAACACACAUCCAUCAAAGGCAUCACAACUAGCAACAAGAGAUCAUCGUUGGGAUGCUUUGAGAAAGGAAACAAGUAUCACAAGAUAUGAAAUGAAUAUCAUGCCAAGAUGCAACCUACACAAGGUUGAAUGCAAGAGGAGAAAGCAUGAAUAGAUACUUGUUACCGAGAUAUCAUUGGAAGGAUGUAGUAGAUACCAAUUGAAGGUGGAUAGUACUUCAUUGAUCAUCCUAGCUUGACUCCAAUAUGCACAUGGUGACAACACCUUCCUUGUGAGUGAGCCGAGCAUCCAAUGCAUCUCCAAAUGUUCCUAGAAGAACAACACAAACUAAAUGGUACCCAAACUCAUCGGGACCAAAUAGUUAGAAACACCAAUACAUAGGACAAACUCCACAUAAAUAUGUGCAUAUAGAUAUGAAAAUGAAUUUCAUGCACAUCUCAUCCAAAUUGAGACUAGGUGGAGUUUCCCCUAUAUAUUGAGUCAAAGAAAGAAAGCAUGCCAAAUGAAAUACAUGAAGUAAACAUGCAUGCUCAAGACUUUCAAAACCCGAAACCAAAAACAAAGAAAUGCCAAGUGAAAAGGAUACCAAAUGGAGAAAUCAUCACUUGGAAGAUAUCAUUAAAGAUACAUCAAGGAAUGAGAUAUCCAUUGAUACACACUAAACUAAAGAUGUCAAACUCCCAAAGAGAGGAUAGUUCCAAACAAACCAGGCUCUCAACAAAGUUUCAUGAUGGCACAAAGUACCAAAAAGAAAUGGCUUGCCUUCCACCAAAACACACUUGAUAAGGAUCACAAGAAGAGUGUUCUAAAGAAAAUAGGAUAGCUCCCCCACGAGUUGUGCAUUAUAUAGGAUUUGCAUUUGAAUACAAAAUGCACAAGGUGGGAUCACCACUUUCACUAUAUCUAGAAAACACUAGACAAGAACAAGAAAUAAACAAGAUCCACAAGUGGUAGGGAAGACAACGGGAGUUGACACAAACCUUGGCAAGAGAAAAAGGCAAAUAAAAAAAGCCAAUGUAAAGAUGAUCAAUUAAAUUCUACCACACAUAAGUGAUUACCAAUUGUCAAAAGACAAGAAGUAUUUGGAAAUAAUUCCCGGUGGUAGAUAGCAAGGAUAUCCGACAUCAUCUUCACUCCAAACAAAAAGCAAAUUGCAACUUGUAGAGCUAACAUGCCACCUAGGAACAAGAUAAUUUACAAUAUCAAUUCUAGGUGACAAUAUCUCAAAUGUACACAUUUUCUAGGCUUGUACUAUGCACUUACCAUAUUACUCCCCCAUAAUGUGAUACCAAUAAGAACUUAACAAGAGGCAAUAAGAGGAUCCAACACGAGAUAAUCAAUGGAAUUUUUAGAAUUUGAAUUUCUCAUGAGAGAUAUACCACCUAGCGACUAGAUAAUCUUGUAAUAUCAAUACUAGAUGGUAUUCCUCAUGUACACACAUUUAUAGGAUUGUGAGGUGCACAAAGCACAUCACUCCCCCAAAAUGGGAUGUUCCAUUAAUCUCUCACAUGAGCCAACUAGGAUACAAACAAGAAGCAUAAAGGCUCAACGCACAACACACACGUACAUGAUGUGCAAACCAACACACACAUACUUGAUUGCUCAAGAUAAGCAAGUUGGAAUCACAACAUAUACAAACACAUGCAAGGAACAAAACCAAAACAUAAGGGAGGCAAGUAACUUUCAAUGUAAGCAAUUUUAAGUACAAGUUACCGCAAGGAGGCACAUUGGAUAUAAAAAAUAAACUUGAUGAUUCAAUUGACUUGGCUUGAGACAAUAAGAGUGAUGAAGUCCCCUUAAUUCUUCAUAAUGUAGCCAAGUCUCCAAUGCCCUCCAACAACACCUAUUGAUCAAGUUUGAGCUAGUUGGUCCCCAACCAAGUUGGGUCCUAAGAGGUUAGUCACAAUAGGCUUGGCUACCCAAAUGGUUCUUUGCUUCAAACCACUUUGAGUACCAACAAACUUGGCAACCACAUUGCCAACCUUAUCCUUCCCAAGAGAAUAGACAUCAUCAAUAAUAAUUGGGUUGGAUAAGUUACCACUAGUGCAUGAAGAAGCAAGGUGACCUUUCUCACGGCAUAAGUAGCAACGUCUACUCUUCACUUUCUUCUCACUUGAUUUCUCAACUUGAGAAGCAUUAACUUGAGUCUUCUUGGGAAGAGGCCUUUCUUCAACUUGAGGUUGAACAUGUGAUUGAAAUUGUGCCCUCUUCCCUUGUUGCUUGACACUAAUGGCCUUCUUCUUCAAUGGGCAAGAUCUAACAUGAUGCCCUUCUACUUUGCACUUGAAGCAAACAAUCUUGGCCGAAUUCUUGACUUGUUAUUGGCCCUUCUUUUUGUUCAUCUUGGACUUCUUCUUCUUAUUGGAGUUGAAUCCAAGUCCACCUUUGUCAUUGGGGGAUUUUUGCACACUCAAGAUAUUGUUGAGUGUGGAUUUCCCUUCAUGACACUUUUCCAAGUCUUUCUUCAAAGAAGUGACUUGGGCCUUGAGCUCUUUGAUUUCCUCUACAUGGUUAGUCUCAACACAAGUACUAGAGGAAGUAUAAGCUUCAUCGUCAGAGCAACAAGGCAAGGAAAGCAAUUCAUCACAAGAUGUACCAACAUUGUGAGUAGAUGAAUUACAAGGACUAGCACAUGGCAAUAUACUAUUUUGACUAGAAGUAGUGCUAGUAUCCACAUGAGGCUCACUAGAUGUUACCUUAGCAAUCAUGGCCACAUGAGCUAUCUUUAGCACACUAUGGGAUACUAGAAGAUCAUCAUGAGAGCUUGAGAGCUUUUCAUGACUUUCUUCCAAUUUCCCAUAAUUGCUAGAUAGCACCUCAAGUUGAGCCCGUAGCUCAACAUUCUCCUUCAAAAUGGAUGCUUCACAAGUAAUAGAAUUAGUAGCAAAAGCAUCAUCAUUAACAACAAGAGGAGAAGGCAACUUGGCAAGCUCUUUUAAAUAAGAAGCUUCAAGUUGGGCAUGAGACUCGGUGAGUUUGAUGAGCUCACCCUUGAUGACCCUUGAGCCAUUUUCGAGGUGCUCAAAAUCCUCAAGGAGUCUAGCAUGAGAAACUUCAAGAUUAGCAUUUUUAGUUUUGAAAUCAUUAGCCACCUCAAGAGCUCUAUCAUGAGAUUCCCUCACUCUAGAUAAUUCUAGAGCAAAAGUCUCCUCAAGAGAUUCGGAGGUGGUUUGUUCAUGUUCAAGAGCUUGAGAUAGCUCCGUAAUCUCAUUUGCGUAAUCACGCCCAUGAGCUUCCAUUUUCUCAAUGGUGACCUCAUGCUCCUCGAUAUGAGAUUCCAACUCCUCAAUAUAUUUCUUGCCCUCAAUGGAAAUGGACAUAAUUUCCAUGAAGUUGGAACGAGCAAUUUUAUUUUUAUGAAGAGCUUUAAAAAUCAUCUCCCCUUAGUUUUUCAGGAGGCAACAUUAUCAUUCUCUUCAUCAUUAUCCUCAUCAUCAUUAGCAUCAACAUCAUCAUCAAGAGACAUAUUGGGGUACAAAGUAGGAGAUACCUUUGAUGCCUUAGCCAUAAGGCAAAAAGCAAUAGAUGAUGAUGUAGGAUCCCUUGAGGCACCAUUAAACACCACAUCUUGUUCCAUGGACUGUUCGGUUUCCUCUACAUUGUUAGCACAAAAAUUCGAGGAAAUAGAUGCAUUUUUAUCAUGGCAACAAGACAUAGCAAGCAUAUCAUCAUGCGAUUUAGUCAAGCAAUUUCUACAUGAUAUACAAGGACUAUCAACACAAGCAUGUGAAACAUUUGGAGUGCUCGAAGUGUUAAAGCCCAAAGAAGGAGCAUUGCAAUAAUAUAGUGAUGAAGGAUCAUCCACAAUAAGCAUACUAUCACCAUUGCAAUGACCAACACUACUCACCAUAUCAUUACCUUGUGGCAAACCACAUGUAGGUGAAGUAGAAGAAGUUGAGAAGACUAUACGACCGGAGGUGGAGGGAGAACAAUCAUCCCCACAAAUCUUGGACACACCAUAUUUAUCUUGAAGCUUUGUCCACAACUCAUGAGCAUCCCGGAACGGCAUGAGUUCAAAUAUAACUACAUUGCUCAAAGCAUCGAAAAGCACAUUAGAAGCUUAAGCAUUGAGAUAAGAGUUUUUCUCAUCCUCUAAAGAUAAUCUUUGGGGAUCCUUUGGAGGAGAAAAAUCCAUAUCUACAAUUCGCUCUAAAUUUGGGUCCAUGACCCUAAAGAGAUUAAGCAUGCGAAUUACCCAAACAUCAAAAUUUGUGCCAUUGAAACUAAGAGUGUCAGAGAAUCCUAAUCCCCUAGUCGACAUCUUUACUCUCAAGGCGGUAAAGCCAAAUAAAGAGAGACGAGGCUCUGAUACCAAUUGAAAGAUCGAGGAUGUCGCCUAGAGGAGGGGGGGGUGAAUAGGUGCUUUAAAAUAAUUAUGGUUUAGGCUUGAACAAAUGCGGAAUAAACCUAGCGGUUAAUUUGUCAAGCACAAAACCUACAACAACUAGGCUCACCUAUGUGCACCAACAACUUAUGCUAAGCAAGAUAAGCAACUAUGUGAUAGCAAGAUAUAGACAAAGAACAAUAUGGCUAUCACAAAGUAAAGUGAAUAAGUAAAGGGGCUCGGGUAAGAGAUAAUCGAGGCACGCGGAGACGAUGAUGUAUCCCGAAGUUCACACCCUUGCGGAUGCUAAUCUCCGUUUGGAGCAGUGUGGAGGCACAAUGCUCCCCAAGAAGCCACUAGGGCCACCGUAAUCUCCUCACGCCCUCGCACAAUGCAAGAUGCCGUGAUUCCACUAAGGGACCCUUGAGGGCGGUCACCGAACCCGUACAAAUGGCAACCCUUGGGGGCGGUCACCCAACCUGUACACUUUGGCAACCCUUGGGGGCGGUCACCGGUACCCGUUAAAUUGCUCGGGGCGAUCUUCACAACCUAAUUGGAGACCCCGAUGCUUGCCCAGAGCUUUACACCACAAUGAUUGAGCUCCGAACACCACCAACCGUCUAGGGCACCAAGGCACCAAAGAGGAACAAGCUCUAGGGUGCCCAAACACCCAAGAAUAAUAAGCUUCUCAAACUUCACUUCCACGUAUCACCGUGGAGAACUCAAACCGAUGCACCAAAUGCAAUGGCAAGGGCACACGGAGUGCCCAAGUCCUUCUCUCCCAAAUCCCACCAAAGCAACUAAUGCUAGGGAGGAAAAUGAGAGGAAGAACGAAAGAAGAACACGAAGAACUCCAAGAUCUAGAUCCAAGGGGUUCCCCUCACUUAGAGGAGAAAGUGAUUGGUGGAAACGUGGAUCUAGAUCUCCUCUCUCUUUUCCCUCAAGAACUAGCAAGAAUCCAUGGAAGGAUUGAGAGUUAGCAAGCUCGAAGAAGGUCAACAAUGGGGGAAGAACACGAGCUCAAAGGAUAAGGUUCAUUGGGGAAGAAGACCCCCUUUUAUAGGACCUCCCGAAUCCAACCAUUAUGUGCUCAGGUCGUGCACAAGCGGUACUACCGCUUGGAGGAGCGGUACUACCGCCUAGCACGAUCAAAACAGCCCAAUCGAGAGAGAAAACACGAGUUUUUUGGUCCGGGGCGGUACUACCGCUUAGGAGCCAUGGUAGUACUGCUCUGGAGCGGUACUACCGCUCAGGAACCACGGUACUACCACUCUGGAGCGGUAGUAAAAAAUUACAUCCGCUCUAGUCGCGGUAAUACCGCUGCAGCCUUUACCAAAACAGCCACAACUUUUGCAAACGGACUCCGAAUUCAACGAAACCAAGUUUGUUGGAAAGCUAACGACAUGGGAUAACACAAUAUUGAUAGAAAUACCAAGAAUAAGCAAAUGAGAAAAGUCCCAUAAGAAAAUGGUGAGAACCCUUCAUCGGAUAAGACCGGUAAAACCUCCAACACCGAAAACAUCAUAGAAGACGCAUGCGAACUCCGUUUUCGAUGAACUCAAGCUUGUCAUCAAGAUGACCAUAAGCUCUAAGACUCACAAAGAUAACCAAACAAGAACCAAGAAACAUGAUGCAAGGAUGCAAUGGUUUGAGCUCUCUACUAAUGAUACGAUCAAGCUACCAACUUGAGAGCCCCCCUUGAUAGUACGUCAAAUGAUCCUAUAACUCGGUCUCCCAACUACCACCACAAGACCGGUAAAAUAGAAAACCUAUCAAGGGAAAACCUUUGCCUUGCACAUGGUCCACUUGAGCUAGAUGAAGACGAUCUUGACUCCCUCAAGUUGGACCACCUUUCUUGAUUGCGUUGGCUCGAUGAAGACUAGAUGAUUGCUCCCCCAUAGUUCACUAUGGGUGAGCCACUCUUCGGCACAUCUUCACAAGUCCAUUGACACCACAAUGGAUGGCAAGAUUCAAGCACUUGAUCUCUUCUUGAUGCUCCACCUGAACUUGCACACGGCAAUCUUGAUGACAAUCACUACUUGAUGUCAUCCUUUCCAUGGGUUGUAUGAUAUCUUCCUCUUGACGCAAGCCCAUGGAUACGUACCUAACCCCACAUACAACUCUCACAUAGACCAUGGGUUAGUACAUAAAGUGCAAUGGACAAUGCUUACCAUACCAUGGGAUCACUUGAUCCCUCUCGGUACAUCUUCUACGCUUUGUCAGUUGAUCAACUUGAUUCACUCUUGACUUAGUCUUGAUCAACCUUGAAUCUUUGCAACUCUCUUCAUUUGGAUGAUGUCUUGAAGGUAAACGUGAAUGAUCACACAACCUUCUUCUUCAAGACAUGCUUGCAAUAAGCUCAACACUCAUAUGACCAAUCUUUGGAUAAAUCCUUAAUAGCACCUUAGUCAUCACAAACUCUCAUUGAAACCAACAAAUGGACUCCAAGAAAAGCCUAUGGGCAAACCCUUCAAAUAUAACUCAAGGUAACCAUUAGUCCAUAGAGAUUGUCAUCAAUUACCAAAACCACACAUGGGGGCACCACAUGUCCUUUCAGGGAGCUAGGCAGGGGAUCAAAUCCUCUUUUUUCGUGGGAACCUUUGUUAAUGACGUAUACCCCUUUGUAUGAAAAUAGACGUCUGCGGAGAAGACGACCGCUCAUAAUGGAAGUGUCUGAACUGAAGCAGAGCCUGGAACGGGCCAAGGAAGAACUUGUCCGUGUGAAGAAGCAAUUAGAGGAUAAGCAAGGUAUGUUGAAACAUUGUCUUGCAUUAGGCACGAAUGAGUAAUUGUGCCUAUUGAAAAGUAUUUGUGUUGAAUGCCCUAGGAGCGAGUGCCUAAUAUGAGGCACUGAAGAAGGCUAUGGCUGAUGCCAACGAGAAGGCUGCCGCCGAAUAGGCGCUUCGUGAAAAACACGAGGCCAGGGUCAUCACAGCUGAGCGGGAGCUCCAGGAGGCUGUGAAGAAAAGCGAGGGUUUGGAGCAGAGUCUAAUAGGGAAAGAAUCCGAACUCGCGCAAGCUCUCCAAGCCGCGGAAGAUGCUCGGGAAGAAGCCCGAGGUGAUGUACGGGACAUUCAUGAGGCCCGGAAAGUUGCGGCUGGUAAGGCCUGUUGUAUUCAUGGCCAUUUUUACAUGAUAGUGGGGAGAACUCUAAGCGACAAGCUGAAUUCUUGUUUUUACAGGGGCGUUUGCAGAUCUGCCUCGUAGCAUAUCAGAUGCCGCCCAAUUCUACCGGACCGAGGAGAAGAAGUCUGCGGAGAGGAACUUCUGGUCGCAGUAUUUGGCGCCGAACUAUCCGAUGCCUUUUAUCGAUCAACUGAAGCAGCUGGUCGAACUGCACUAGUUGGCCGAACAAGCCAUGAAGGACUUGGUUGUCCGGCUGUGGCCCGCGGAGCCAAUUCCAAGCAGUUACUUCGGACUCGUGAAGCGGAUUGUGGGCGCCUGUCCUCGGCUUGAUGCUAUCAAGCGACCAGUCUGUAUAGAAGGUGCGCGCAUGGCGUUCGCCCGGGCAAAAGUGCAUUGGGGGAAGCGUGACGCGGAAAAGCUGAUGACUGAGGGGCCGUCGGAGGGUAAGGAGCACCGCAAGCCCAAGCUGUACUAUGAAGGUGUACUGAAGGGGGCCCGCCUUGCGGCGGAUAAGUGUACCAAAGACAUUAUAUUUCCCUGAGGGCAUUCGUGUCGCUCUUUGUAAUAUGGGAUAAUGGCACUUUUAUUACAUAUUGCCUAUUUUGUUUGAACAUAUGUUCUUCCUGUGCGGCUGUUUAUUGUAUGUAAAUCCUGAGAGUUGGCCAGUCGUCGGCUUCUGCCCCCACGUAAAAAAUACGGGGGUGUUCGAGACAUAUCUGAACACUCUUUAUCCCAUGGUUGGGUCCUUUUAAGGAGGUGUUCCUCACCACGAACCAGGCAAUCGGACUAUAGGGCUUUACUGCUCUCACUUAGCCAUAGGAAUUCGAGUAUGGUCGGCGCAGCCCCUAGUGUUCAGAAGGCCGAACUAAGGGCUCUAUUGGCGCCUGAUCGGAGGACCGAUCCGUCCCACUCUGCAUUUAUAAUGGCAUUAUGUGGAAUAAAUCUUUAAGGAUUUUACAACCUCUCGGACAGCUGACCAGCUCUCGCUGCAUCAUGACAGUCAGUUUUUGGCUUUCUCUACUAAGGUGCUUGUCCGGCAGAUCUGGGACACAAUCACAGUAGUUCUCCCAGCGCUACCUUAGCGGAUGGAACGGAACGUAAGGUACCAAAACAUGGGAGCCGGGCAAACCCAACCAAUGACCCAAGACAUGAUUCGGAGCUGAUGCAUACAGUGCUAUAAGUUCGGGGUGCCGAGAGACCGAAAAGGUGGUCGGACUUUAUUGCUGUACUGUGAAGCCCCUGGCAUAACCGGGCGUAACACGAAGCGUGGCUGCCAUUUUUUGGCAUCAAUGAUAAACGAUGGCCGAUAAGUGUUAUUUAAGUCUACGCAUUGUAGUAGGAUGAUAUGUCUAUGCAUAUGAGUACGAUUUAUGAUUAUGAAAAGAGGUGUUUUUGGUGGAACCUAUGAUGGCCGGACUGGAGGGGGCUGCGAGUGGAUGAAAAGUGAAUCUAAACUGCCUUCUACCUGCAUGUUCCUGCCCUUGUGUGUCCGAGCUGAUUCCACGCCGCCAAUCCUGUUUUGCGUCAAAGUUAGUUUGUAAAGGCAAAUGCUUGGAGGCAGCUGAACGUCCUCUUGUGGUUGGUCUAAGGGUUCCUGAUUGGACCCUGGUGACCCCAGCCGUUAUACCGUGAAGCAGCGCGGACUCCUCAGUUGGUGUCCGGAUAGUUGGCUGUCAUAUCAAAAUUUUGAUAGGCAUGCACGACUCACUAUUCUGGCAGCUGUAUGAUUUCCGCUCUAAGGGCGGGGUUCAGCCUUGCCCGUAGGCGUGAUUAUAUCACCGGUGUUGGCCUAAUGGUUUACCACGUGGAAUCUAGUCAACGUGGUUCAUCCCGUUAGCAUACGGUAGAUUACCGUAUGAUGGGAAAGUGCCGAAGAAUUAUUCUUUGGCGUGGCAUUUUUUGGUUAUCCGAAAACAACCGUUAGAGUGGUGGGCCAAUAAACUUGGCCUUUGAACCUGGCAUCUUUUGGAAGAUGUUAUUUGUGGUUUCAUACCCGCGGGGGCUUUAUGUGAUAUGGAGCCCCCGGACUACUAGGUAUAGGGGUACGACAAUUGAAUUGCUGUGGUUGGUAUGAUCGGGGGCGAUCGGCCCUACUUUUAUGCUCUGGAGGGUCUCUUGACUAGACGCCUCCCCUCAUUGUUUCCGGCACAUGACCGGUCGCUUUGUUUUGAGGAUCUGACAUUCUCUAUUGGUAUGCUUUGCCGUCCUUCUAGGAGAGCCGUGAAUUUCACAUGGUUGAUCGAGUAUAUGGCUCGGGCCGGAUAGGCUUGAGCUGUUCUUUGUCCGUUGACCGGACUGGGAGUUGUUGGGUUUGGCACCAGCUUCCUUGACUUGACGUUUAUGACCAUUGCGCCGAGGCUUGAGGAUGCCUCUUCGUGUAUCCUUCUUACUGUCUUGGACCAUAGUGAUCUGUGGACGUCGGGGUGUGUGCCUUGGGUUCUCCUGCUUAGGUUGAGGUAGCUAGUUGUGCUACGUGUGCCCUUUGUCAGGGCGGUCGAGUCCAUACUUUUCGGUGGCCAGGAUCUUGGUCCACCUAUCCACGAGCAAAUCUUGGUCAACUUUAAGCUGCUCUUGCUUCCUUUGCAGGCUCCUUGCCGUGGCCAUGAGCCGUCGCUUGAAGCGAAUUUGUUCCACUGGAUCUUCAAGCACGCCGAAUUCGUCAUUGCCGAGGCUUACCUCGUCCUCGGAGGGGGGUGCAUAGUUGUCCCUCUCCAAGUAUCCCACCGUGGCCCGUCCAGCCUGCUUGAAGGUAGGCUCAUCAGGGUUGUAUUCCUCUUCGGCACCAUCCGGAUUGCUUUCAUCUCCGGGGCCGGUAUUGCUAUGGCGGGGCUCGGAGCAACACCGACAACGCCCAUGCUUUGCUUUUCUCCCUGAGGGGUCAUCCUCCGUUGCCUCGUCACCAUUGGUUUCCUUCGGAAUGUCCACCAUGUAUAUAUCAUAUGAGGAGGUGGCUGUCCACCGCCCUGUGAGCGGUGGUUCCUAUACUUCUCCUGCAUCGUCGUCCAUACCAUCGAUGUCUUCAGAGUCAAAGUCAAGCACGUCGGUUAAAUCAUCGACCGUGGCAAUGAAGUGGGUGGUGGGUGGGCAGCGAAUUCCUUCGUCGCCUGCUUCCCACUCAAGCCGGACAUAGUUCAGCCCAAAGCCUCCUGACAAAGAGAGAGACUUUAAUGAGUUCAGCAUGUAGCCAAAGGGCGAGUGCCAGAAGAUAUCCGCAGCAGUAAACUCCAUUACCGGAGCCCAACCUGGCUCGGCUGGCUCAAGGGUGUGCAGUGGAACCAACAAUCGGAUACGAGUCCAGGGGUCCAGAGUUACAGGCUUCCUCAGAAGUGAGGCCUGUGUUCGGCUCUACUGCUGAUGAGUGUGCAGCCUGCGGGGCGGGGCCCAUCCCUCCGUCCUCAGGCGACGCAGCCUGCUCCGGAUAUAGGUCCAGGGCUACUACAUGGGUGAUGUCCUUAACAUUGUCUGACAGCAGGUCUAGGCCGUGCUCAUCGCGACUAUCCGGUGCUCCUGGCAUAGGCCCGAAUCCGUCGAAGAUCAAGUCUCCGCGGAUAUCCACCGUGUAGUUCAAGUUCCCGAACCUGACCUGGUGGCUAGGGGCGUAGCUGUUGAUCUGCUCCAGAUGGCCAAGCGAAUUGGCCCGCAGUGCGAAGCCGCCGAACACGAAGAUCUGUCCGGGGAGAAAAGUCUCCCCUUGGACCGUGUUGUUGAUGAUUGAAGGCGCCACCAAGCCUUGCAGCGACAACACAGAGGAACUCUCAAUGAAAGCACCAAUGUCGGUGUCAAAACCGGCGGAUCUCGGGUAGGGGGUCCCAAUCUGUGCGUCUUAGGCUGAUGGUAACAGGAAGCAAGGGACACAAUAUUUACCCAGGUUCGGGCCCUCUCGAUGGAGGUAAAACCCUACUUCCUACUUGAUUAAUAUUGAAGAUAUGAGUAGUACAAGAGUAGAUCUACCACGAGAUUGUAGAGGCUAAGCCCUAGGAGCUAGCCUAUGAUGGUAUGAUUGUAAUUGUGAUCGGCCUUCUAAGGACCAACCUCUCCGGUUUAUAUAGACACCGGAGAGGGCUAGGGUUUACAUGGAGUCGGUUACAAGGAAGGAAACACAAUAUCCAGAUCGCCAAGCUUGUCUUCCACGCAAAGGAGAGUCCCAUCCGGACACGGGACGGAGUCUUGAGUCUCGUAUCUUCAUGCUUCAAUAGUCCGGAUGAUGUAUAUAGUCCGGCUGUCCGGAUACCCCCUAAUCCAGGACUCCCUUAGCCACAAUAACCUUUUUUUUAAACUAGGCCACAAUAACCAUGGGCUACAUAUUUACUGUAGUGACACUAGGCCUCCUACGGGCUGUAGAAACAAUGGGCCUUCUACGGGCCAUAGAAACAAUGUGCCUUCUACGGGCCAUAGAAACAAUGGGCCUUCUACGGGCCGUAUCAUCAAUGGGCCUUAUACGGGCCGUAUGAUCGAUUGGCCAAACAUGGGCCAAUAACAGACCGCAUUAUGGCCUUAAACGGGCUAGAGUUGGAAUCAUCCGUUCAUGGGCCGACCAUAAUGGCCAUCGUUAAUAGGUCGUAUUUGGUGACGCUAUGAAAACGACCCAACGUAUUAACGGGCCACAAACGGGCCGACUGUAACCAUGGGCUGAAUUUGGCCCACAGGCAGAAAAUGACAGUAACGGGCCAUAAGUAACCGAAUGCUAGAAAUGAGCCCAAGAAUAAAUGGGUCCUGAGAAGGCUGAUAACAUGGGCUGCGAACGGCCCAAUGGAAUAAUGGGCCGUUAAUGGGUAUAAAGUGAUGCAUUGUUCAUUACGGGCCAGUUUCACCAUGGGUCGUUAAUGGGCCAAGAGUUACAAAGGGCCUCAUAUGGGCUGAAAGACAUCAUGGGCCAUACAUUGGCCGGAACCUAAAAUGGGCUGGAAUCAUAUUGGACGGCCCAGAUGAUGCUAUUGGGCCUAAUUAGGAUAGGUCGUAACGGGCCCUGGGUUAGUGGGUUGUAAAUGGGUUAUAUGCGAACAAGCCGUUAAUAGGCUUUUCAUGGACCGGCCUGCCACCUUUUGACCAAGUCAAACAGGUCGGCCUUUUCACAGGAAUGGGCCUCUGUUGGGCCAUGCCACGUGUCAACGUAUCAUAGGCGCCUUCGGUCCAAUGAGUGGAUGACAUCUGCCCAACGACGAGCCGACACGUGUUUCCUCCAGCCAAUGAUGAUUUUACACGUGGAAAAUCCCCAUUGGUCAGGGCUGUUAACGGGUUAUCGGAUCCAAAACGGACCCGAUAGCUUAACGGCGUUUCGUUACGGUGGAUGCCACGUGUCGGUCACCCUUGACGAAAGCACUUCUAUGAUGCGCGAUUUAUCAUCAUGGGAGUGGACACUUCCGUGACACUACAGGAAUCAGCUACGCCGUCUGCCACGGCGGACGGCAAAGGCAUGAACGGCGGACGGCAAAGGCCUUUGCCGUCAGCCGCGGACGGCAAAAGGCUCCGGCAAAGUAGGCUUCGGUAAACAGCUACUUUGUCGUCUGCUACUAAUGGCAAAGUCUUUGCCGUCCGCCGCAGACGGCAAAGAGAGCGCGACAGACGACAAAGAAGGCGGACGGCAAUAAUUGCGUUGUCAGUCCGUUAAGUGGCUAACGGCAGGCCUUUGCCGUCCGCCGCUGACGGCAAACUUUCUAGUGUCUUUGCCGUCCGCCGUAUGAUGUCAUCUACAUGUCACUACAUGGCAGGUUCUUUGCCGUCUGCCACUGAUGGCAAAGUCUUUGCCGUCUGCCACUGUAGGCAAACUGACCAAACGGGUUAGCUCCCAGGAAGCACAGCUAGAUGCCACGUGCCUUCUUUGCCGUCCGCGGCAGACGGCAAAGAGCCCGUUGCCGUCGGUGGCAGACGGCAAAGAGCCUGCAUAUUGGCUCUUUUAUCUGUUUUUUAUUAAAUCCAACAAUUUUCAUCACAAAUAUAGAUGACAUAUAUAGAUAUAUUUCAAAAGGCCAUUACAGAGCAAACAUAUAAGAUAUCCAACACAUAACUUCAUCAUCCAACCAUAUAUAUUACAUGCAUAGUUCCAUCAUACAUAACAAGUUCAACAUAGAGGCAUCCAACCAUAUAUAUUACAAUAGUUUCAUCCAACGAUACAUGCAUAGUUCAACGAUACAAAAGAAACAGAGAAAGGUAUAAGGAGCACUCCAUCUAUGCAAGCUUUCGUCAAGUGAAUGAACUCUGCAAAAUGAAAAAUAAGAAAGUUAGAACAAGAAGAGUAGAACAAGAAGAAGAGUAGAACAAGAAGAAGACUAGAACAAGAAGAGUAGAACAAGAAGAAGACUAGAACAAGAAGAGUAUGUCAUUUAUGAGCUAACUUACGUGAAAUGGAUCAUAUAUGAGCUAACUAAGUUGAAAUGGGUCGUUUAUGAGCUAGCUAAGGUGAAAUGGAUCAUUUAUGAGCUAACUUAGUUGAAAUGGGUCGUUUAUGAGCUAACUAAGGUCAAAUGGAUCGUUUUUCAGGUAACUAAGGUGAAAUGGAUCUUUUUUAGAUAACUUAGAUGAAAUGGAUCAUUUAUGAGCUAACUUAGUUGAAAUGGAUCGUUUUUUAGCUAACUUAGGUGAAAUGGAUCAUUUAUGAGCUAAUUUAGUUGAAAUGGAUCUUUUUGAGCUAACUUAGGUGAAAUGGAUCAUUUAAGAGCUAAUUUAGGUGAAAUGGAUCGUUUUUAGGUAACCUAGGUGAAAUGGAUCGUUUAUGAGCUAAAUUAGUUGAAAUGGAUCGUUUAUGAGAUAACCUAGGUAAGAUUGGUCAUUUUGGAGUUAACCUAGGUGAAAUGGGUCAUUUUAAAGCUAACGUAGGUAAAAUGGAUCAUUUACGAGCUAAUCUAGGUAAAAUGGGUCAUUUUUGAGCUAACUUGGAUGAAUUGGAUCAUUUAUAAGCUAACCUAGGUAAAAUGGGUCAUUUUAGAGCUAACUUAGGUAAAAUGGAUCGUCUAUAAGCUAACUAAGCUAAUUAUGCAAUUUUUGACAUAAGUAAGCUAAGUACAGAUCAUUUUAGAGCUAACUUAGGUAAAAUGGAUGGUUUUGGAGGUCAGUAAGCUUAUUAAGUCAUUUUGGAGGUGAAGAAGCUAAGUCUAGGUCAUUAUGGUAAGCUUUGGAGGAAAUAAAGCUAAGUCUAGGUCUUUAUGCAUGUGUUAAGCAAAACACUAGAUAAACUUACCAAGAUGUAGGAGGUGUAGGAGCGGGGUGGCUCGUGUCGGUAGCUGGAGAAGGAUCGUGCGAUGCUUGUCUGGAGUUACGCUGCACCAAAGAUCAUUUCCAAUGUCUUGUUAGCAUGAUGACACUCAAAUGUUAAGACUAGCAAGUAAUGUCCACUCAAAUAAAACUCACCGUGGUCCCAGGAGCAAUCACUGGCAUCGGCGGAGCGGUCUGACCUGUCUUCUCGCACACAGACUGCACAUUUGGUUUUGACGACUCAGUCAUACUAGUUAGUAAUGAGACAAACACUACAUGAAUGUUUUGGCUAAUCUGCAGAAGAAACUUACCACAAGGAGCUCGUACAUGGCCCUUGCCUGCAUGUCAUUCCGUGCCCUCUCCUCCUCCAUCAUCUUUGUCGUCCUCUCCUCCAACUCCCGCUGCCUCUCCGCCGCCUCCGCCAGAAGUUUCUCUGUUCUAUCUCUCUCACUCUGUAUAGCAGCCUGCAACACCACUCACAUGACCAUUUGUAAUCAUUGAUGGAAGCGCACACAUUGUAAUGGAGAAAGAUAACUGAGUACGUAUCACUAACCUUGAUGGCGAGUUGCACUGGCCGUUCACGAGGCCUUAUCUCAGGAGCGGAGCUCGAUUGGCGCGCCUUGAUCUCCGGGAGAGUGCUAGGACAACGGAUAAGUCCAUCUCCAAUGGCUAUGGAGCCAUGGGACCUCCCGCCACCAGAUAUCAUCAACAACUCUGGAUCAAUGGGACCCUGGCUCGGGUUAAAGUCCUCCCCUUUCCUCGCCUUCCCCUCAUCUCUAUAUCUCACGAGCUUGUUGUGGGAGGAGAUGUUGGUGAAGUUGUUUGCAUCAUCGAGGUCAGACUGAGAGAAAGCCUUGACUUUCUUGAAAGAGGCAGUGUGGGCCAUGGCAUACAGGUCGUACACCUCUGGCACCUUAUCCGCCUUAUUGUAGUGUGCCUGAAAGAGAGAAACAAUGAAAAUUAGUAAUUAAAGGGCUCAAGCUAGCAUGAUGAAUGAAUUGCAUGAAUCAUGAAGCAAACCACAUACCCAGUUGCGCCCGAACUGAUAUAAGUUGGAGCUACCUUGAUGGUGUGGCACACCUUCCAUUUGGGCAUGUUUGUCCUUGGCCUCGUUGUGGAGGGCUAGCCAUCGUUGUGAGCACCACUCAUCGACCAACACCUCCCAACAAUCCAUCCGAUCCGCACACCAUCUCAGAGGCGCCUAAGUUAGCAAAUAGAAACUUGAGCGCUACGGCUAAGAAUUACUAAAUGAAGGAACUUAAGUAGAGAAGGCCUUAAGAAUUACCUUCAUGUACUGCUCCUUACUCAGGAACUUAUCGCGGCACGUCGGCUUGGUCUUCUUGAUACCACGCAAGGCGUAGUAGUCUCGAACAGCCUGCACCCGAGCCUCGUGCCGUAAGUUCUGGAGUAGGCGCUUGCAGACAUUCUCGAUAACAUGUGCCGCGUCCUCCUCGUAUCCCUCCUCACACCUGUAGAAUGUCUGCAAUCAAAUGAGACAAUAUUGAUUAGUACAAUUAAUAACUAGCUAGUUGAAUAUUUUUAAAUGUGUAAAGGAGAAAUUACCCAAAACUUUCUGAUCACCAUGUCUGCCCUCGUGUUGCACACGACACCGUCGAUAAUCUCAUCCGGCGGGGCCGGGGCAGCCACGUAGUGCUCCCAGCUCAAUCCAAGCUCUGGAAGCCGACCCUCACCAGGCAACGUGACAAACCCCGGGAAGUUUUGCCGGCAAAGAACUCCAAGGACGGAGUUGGGCCGGCGGACACUAUGAUGGUGGUCCCAACCCCUGCAGCAUGACAAGGCCAAUGCAUUAGUUAUUUGAAAAAACGUGAAUGCACAAGGUACAAAAAUAAUAAAUGCACUUACGUACCUCUCCCCAUCAGGGAAAAUCAACCACCUCUGCUCGCGGGUCACCGGCACAGACGGGAGCCGUGUAGCACCACGCUGGUAGACGGUGCCCCCCUCCUCCUCAAGAUCAGUCGGCUCCCCGCCAUCAUCAGCAUGGCCACUCGGCUCCUCGGGCUGAUCCGGCCAGGUACCCCAUCCGGACGUGUGCUCCUCCGGGGUCACAUGGGCCGAACUCUCGUGGGCCGAAGGCCAGUCGACCGGAGGCUCAUGGGCCCAAGACCCAUGGACCGGGGGCUCGUGGACCGGAGUCCGUGUAGCCUCCUCCUCGGACGAGUCCACCCUAGCAGUCACGUGCUCGGGUGAAACGGCUGGGGGUGGCGGCGAGGAAGGCGCCGUAGCAGUCACCCUACCUCCUCUCCCACGACCACGUGCCCCACCUCCUCUCUUCCUACCUCGUCCCCUGCUGGGCACCACGGUCGACGAAGAAGGGCCCGACGGUGUGGCCAUACUGUCCAGCAACGCUCAGCGGAGAGGUGCGUCUGGAAUGGAAGACCUCAGACCACGCUCCCGACCAGCGCCCACCAUCUUUCAACACCUGCCAUGACAAACAGUAAACGAAAUUAGUACAACAUAAAAAAAGACCGGCAUGAAUAAUAAUAUAUAGCUAGCUAUCAAGUUUCAUCGGAAUAGAUCAAAUAAUUAAUGGGGGAGGAGGACUUGUCAUUUGUGCUCACCCACGAACGAAGGGGCAGAGCUCGUCAAACGCACGGCGAGGUCGUCGAACACCAAACCUCGCAGCGAUGAAACAACUACACAUUGAAAACUACACGAUCAACACAAUUAUAUAUGAUGUUUUUCAUAACAAAAUCGAAAAAUAUAUGACCUAACUAAUAAUUCACAAAUAUAUGACCCCGUUGGCCUCUGGAAGGCCAAAGAACACCUUUUCGGGAGGUGUCGGUGGUCGGGGUGUCCUGUCGGUGUCGGGGUGCCGUGUCGGGNNNNNNNNNNNNNNNNNNNNNNNNNNNNNNNNNNNNNNNNNNNNNNNNNNNNNNNNNNNNNNNNNNNNNNNNNNNNNNNNNNNNNNNNNNNNNNNNNNNNNNNNNNNNNNNNNNNNNNNNNNNNNNNNNNNNNNNNNNNNNNNNNNNNNNNNNNNNNNNNNNNNNNNNNNNNNNNNNNNNNNNNNNNNNNNNNNNNNNNNNNNNNNNNNNNNNNNNNNNNNNNNNNNNNNNNNNNNNNNNNNNNNNNNNNNNNNNNNNNNNNNNNNNNNNNNNNNNNNNNNNNNNNNNNNNNNNNNNNNNNNNNNNNNNNNNNNNNNNNNNNNNNNNNNNNNNNNNNNNNNNNNNNNNNNNNNNNNNNNNNNNNNNNNNNNNNNNNNNNNNNNNNNNNNNNNNNNNNNNNNNNNNNNNNNNNNNNNNNNNNNNNNNNNNNNNNNNNNNNNNNNNNNNNNNNNNNNNNNNNNNNNNNNNNNNNNNNNNNNNNNNNNNNNNNNNNNNNNNNNNNNNNNNNNNNNNNNNNNNNNNNNNNNNNNNNNNNNNNNNNNNNNNNNNNNNNNNNNNNNNNNNNNNNNNNNNNNNNNNNNNNNNNNNNNNNNNNNNNNNNNNNNNNNNNNNNNNNNNNNNNNNNNNNNNNNNNNNNNNNNNNNNNNNNNNNNNNNNNNNNNNNNNNNNNNNNNNNNNNNNNNNNNNNNNNNNNNNNNNNNNNNNNNNNNNNNNNNNNNNNNNNNNNNNNNNNNNNNNNNNNNNNNNNNNNNNNNNNNNNNNNNNNNNNNNNNNNNNNNNNNNNNNNNNNNNNNNNNNNNNNNNNNNNNNNNNNNNNNNNNNNNNNNNNNNNNNNNNNNNNNNNNNNNNNNNNNNNNNNNNNNNNNNNNNNNNNNNNNNNNNNNNNNNNNNNNNNNNNNNNNNNNNNNNNNNNNNNNNNNNNNNNNNNNNNNNNNNNNNNNNNNNNNNNNNNNNNNNNNNNNNNNNNNNNNNNNNNNNNNNNNNNNNNNNNNNNNNNNNNNNNNNNNNNNNNNNNNNNNNNNNNNNNNNNNNNNNNNNNNNNNNNNNNNNNNNNNNNNNNNNNNNNNNNNNNNNNNNNNNNNNNNNNNNNNNNNNNNNNNNNNNNNNNNNNNNNNNNNNNNNNNNNNNNNNNNNNNNNNNNNNNNNNNNNNNNNNNNNNNNNNNNNNNNNNNNNNNNNNNNNNNNNNNNNNNNNNNNNNNNNNNNNNNNNNNNNNNNNNNNNNNNNNNNNNNNNNNNNNNNNNNNNNNNNNNNNNNNNNNNNNNNNNNNNNNNNNNNNNNNNNNNNNNNNNNNNNNNNNNNNNNNNNNNNNNNNNNNNNNNNNNNNNNNNNNNNNNNNNNNNNNNNNNNNNNNNNNNNNNNNNNNNNNNNNNNNNNNNNNNNNNNNNNNNNNNNNNNNNNNNNNNNNNNNNNNNNNNNNNNNNNNNNNNNNNNNNNNNNNNNNNNNNNNNNNNNNNNNNNNNNNNNNNNNNNNNNNNNNNNNNNNNNNNNNNNNNNNNNNNNNNNNNNNNNNNNNNNNNNNNNNNNNNNNNNNNNNNNNNNNNNNNNNNNNNNNNNNNNNNNNNCUGGCGGAUGGCAAAGAUCAGGCGGACGGCAAAGAGUUGCCGUCCGCCUGAUCUUUGCCAUCUGCUUUUUGGUAGCUGAUGGCAAAGAGCUUCUUUGCCGUCAACUAGCAGACGGCAAAGAGCUGGCAGAUGGCAAAUUAGCUGAUUCCAGUAGUGUGAUGAUAAUUUUGGUAAUGUCAUGGAACACUUCUAUGACAGCACAGGUAUGACUAUCUUGAUUUUGUCAUAAAAUCGUCAUGGAUGUACAUGCAUGAAAGAAAACGUGACCUACUAUGACAAACACGUAUCAUCACGGAAGUGUAUUUUUUUUGUAGUGUUGUCUACCCACCAUGUCCAUCGCCCACGAAGGACUUGCCUCACUCGAGUAGAUCUUCACGAAGUAGGCGAUCUCCUUGCCCUUACAAACUUCUUGGUUCAACUCCACAACUUGUCGAAGGCUCCCAAGUGACACCUAACCAAUCUAGGAAACACCACUCUCCAAAAGGUAAUAUAUGUUGUGUUGAUGAUGAACUCCUUGCUCUUGUGCUUCAAAUGAUAGUUUCCCAACACUCAACUCUCUCUCUCACACACAGAUUUGGAUAUGAUGGAUAGAUGAUUUGAGUGGAAAGCUACUUGGGGAAGGCUAGAAAUAAAGAUUCUCGUGGUAGGAUUGGUAUAUCUUGAUCUCAACACAUGAGUAGGUGGUUCUCUCUCAGAAAAUGUAUGCCAGAAGUGUAGGCACGUUCUGAUGUCUCUCUCACAUAUGGAGAAGAGUGUGGAGGGGUGUAAUGCCUUCACACAAAAUCCAACCGUUACACACAUUUGACCCAACUCGGUCAGACUGAAUAGAACAACUCGGUGAGACCGAUUUAGUUCAAAAUGUGAACAUUAGGAAUCUCGGUGGGGCCGACUGGAACAACUUGAUGGGAACGAUGUGCUAGGUCUUAGGGCAAACAUCAACUCGGUGGCACUGAUUGCAUCAACUCGGUGAGACCGAAGUGAAGCAAUAGGGCAACAAAGAGAAUGUCAAGCCAACUCGGUGAGACUGAUCGCUAUUUCGAUGCAACCAAAAUAAUUGUAACAGGCACCAGAGAAUUUGUAAGGCCAUCUCGGUGAGACCGAGAUCUGUAUUGGUUUGACUGAACUAUUAGGUUUCAGGUAGUGGCUAUGUCAUAUGAACUCGGCGGCGCCAGAUAGAAAGAAUCGGUGAGGUCGAGUUGGAGUUUAGGGUUUUGACAUAUUUGGAAUGAGAAAGUGGUUGAGGGAUUUGGAGUAAUAUCACUAAGUAUUUGAGCAAGCAAGUCAUUAAGCAACAUCUCAUCCCCAUUUAAUAGUAUUGACUUUCCUAUGGACUCAAUGUGAUCUUGGAUCACUAAAAUAGAAACGAAGAGUCUUGAGCUUUUGCCAAUAUGUGUCCUUAGCAUUUUGAGGGAUCCACAUAUCUAGUCCAUGCCAUGCCAUUCAUUGAACUUUCUAAAAUAUUAGACUUGAAUGGAUAUUAGUUCCUAUGGACUCAACUCUCUCACAUAGAUUUGGAUAUGGACGGUGAUGGGUUGGAUGAGAUUUACAAUGUAAUCGAGUUAGUUUUGUUAGGGUUUGAUCCCUAGUAUGCACUAUGUUCAAAGAUUGAUGUUGCUAUGACUUUGCUAUGCUUAAUGCUUGUCACUAGGGCCCGAGUGCCGUGAUUUCAGAUCUGAACCUAUUAUGUUUUCAUGAAUAUAUGCGUGUUCUUGAUCCUAUCUUGCAAGUUAUAGUCACCUACUACGCCGGCAACCCCGGAGGGACAAUAGUCGGGACACUUCCCGGUGAUGACCGUAGUUUGAGGAGUUCAUGUAUUCACUAAGUGCUAAUGCUUUGGUACGGUACUCUAUUAAAAGAAGGCCUUAAUAUCCCUUAGUUUCCAAUAGGACCCCGCUCCCACGGGAGGGUAGGACAAAAGAUGUCAUGCAAGUUCUUUUCCAUAAGCAUGUAUGACUAUAUUCAGAAUACAUGCCUACAUUAUAUUGAUGAAUUGGAGCUAGUUCUGUGUCACCCUAUGUUAUAACUGUUGCAUGAUGAAUGUCAUCCGACAUAAUUAUCCAUCAUUGAUCCUUUGCCUACGAGCUCGUUUCAUAUUGAUCUUUGCUCAGUUAUUUUUCUGUUGCCACUGUUAUGAUUGCCACAAAACUACUACUAUUACUUUUGCCACCGUUACUAUUACUUCCAUACUACUUUGCUAGUAAAUACUUUGCUGCAGAUAUUAAGUCUUUCAGGUGUGGUUGAAUUGACAACUCUGCUGCUAAUACUUGAGAAUAUUCUUUGGCUCCCCUUGUGUCGAAUCAAUAAAUUUGGGUUGAAUACUCUACCCUCGCCUAUUGCGAUCUCCUAUACUUGUGGGUUAUCAAUUACCAAAACCACCCGGGGAUUAGUUGCACUUUUAAUCUCCCCCUUUUUGGUAAUUGAUGACAACAUAUAGAUCAAAGCUUCGACAAAUGAUAAUAUGAAUGAAAUACAUCGUCGCCUUGAGAAGUAUGUGAUAAGCAAGAGCUCCCCUUAAAUUUGUGCACAAUUUGAAAUUUGUGUUUGAAUGCAAAUGCAGGAUCACGGGUCACUCUUCCAUGUCACAUACAUCUUGGUGGAGCGCACAAAAUGAUAGGAAUUAAAUAACUUGCACUCAUCACCAAAGAUACAAGUGAUUGAUCAUACACAAACAUUCAUAGAUAUAAUCACGCAAGCACACAUUACGCGUAGUAUGAUCAAACACAUGAUCACAUAAGGUAUCUCACGAGCAUAACACACAAGUAGCAUAAGUAGCAACAACCAGCCAAAGUAGCAAGGCAAAUGAAACCAACAAAAGCAAGAGACGCACUCUCUCUCGAAGCGUAUGAUCUAUAAACUUUCUCCCCCUUUGGCAACAAGUUACCAAAAAGUUCGAAAAUGUAUAGUGCUAUGCGGCACUCUAGGCAUGAUCUCUGGGAGCUCCCGAAGGGGUCUUCUAGCUUAUGGCUCUAGUGUGCAUAGACGGUGUUGAGAGGAGAACAUCUGCAAAUGCUUUAGCUGAUGUUUGUGGAGCUGGUGGAGUAGAUAUUGGAGGAGCAGCUGUGGUUGUGGUGGCAGGAGCGGAAUGAGCAGGUCUCAAGUCUGCAACUGGCUCAACAGAAGACCUUCAUGCCCUUGGCACUGCCUGGAAUCUCUUUGUUGUAGUUCUAGCAUCAUUGUCCUCAGCAUCAUCUCUCAGCUUCUCAACUAUAGUCUGAAUCUCUGUGACCUUCACAUCAAGGUUGUACAUUUUAUCCUCAACAAUUCUCUCUAAGCUCUGCUGAUUCUGAGUCAAGGUGGCUCAGCUCUUCUCUAUCCUCAGAGUAGCUUCUAGCAGAUAUGUGAUCUGAUCUUGCUUAGUCUUGAGAUUCACAAUUGAAGCAUCUACAUCACUUGCUGCUUUUGCUGCUUUAGCAGUCUUUGCCUUCUCAAUCUUCUACUGGGCCUCUACUGAAGUAGGAUGUGAAGCAUCCAUGACAACUUCAUUGUCCUCAAAAUCUGGCCUAAGAGGUAGAUGCUCUUUGUGUUCAGUAGAUAUGUUCCAGUUCCAACCUUGGAAUUGACCAACAUCUGAAUAUGUGGAGCAUAUCCACAUGACAUCUUUUGGUCAGCUAUUGUCCUCUUGACUGUCUCAACUAUCAAGCUAUGACCUUCAUUUUUUGGGGAAUAGCAAACAAGUGUAGCAAUUUAAUGGAAUGACCACAUAUCAUCAUGUGAUCUCCAGACUUAGGCAAGAGGGUAUGCCUUGGUAUGGUGCUUGUGCUGGUCAGUCCAGCUAGUAGAGCCAAACUUUGGAGUGUCCAAUGCAGCCUCAAGAAUAGUCUUGUACAUGUGAGCCAUAGAGUUGUGAUCCUUCCUGGGUUUGCUAUACACGUCAAGAUCAUCUUCAUCUUCCCUUGGAGAAUUGAUAAGGGCAGCCCACUCAGUGAUUGAUGACUGGUACCUGGUGUCGCUGUCAACACCGGCAGAUCUCGGGUAGGGGGGCCCAAGCUGUAUGUAUGAGGACCAAUGGUAACUAUGGACAAAUGACACAAUGUUUACCAAGACCCUCUUAAUGGAGGUAAAACCCUACUCCUGCUUGAUUAUAUUCGAGGGUAUAGGGGUUACAAGAGUUGAUCUACCUCAAGAUCGAUUCGGCUAACCCUAGAUUAGCUAGCCUAACAAUGUUGUGAUCCUGCUUCCGAUCUACCCUCCGGUUUAUAUAGACACCGGAGGGGCUUAGGGUUGUACAAAGUCGGUUUUACAGAAAGGAAUAAGAUAUUUGGACACCUAUACUUGCCAUCUACACAUAUGGGAGUCCCCACCGGACACGAGAGAUAAUCUUCUGUCUUAUAUCUUGACGGCCCAUCAGUCCGGCCCACAUCAACAGACUGGACGCCCGAGGACCCCCUAGUCUAGGACUCCCAUAGUAGCCCCUGAACCAGUCUUCAGUGAUGAUAUAUUCGGCGUUCAUAUUGUCUUCGGCAUUGCAAGGCGGGUUCCUUGAAGAAUAUACAUCGGAUUUUGAUGACCCACAAGUAUAGGGGAUCUAUCGUAGUCCUUUCGAUAAGUAAGAGUGUCAAACCCAACGAAUAGUAGAAGGAAAUGACAAGCGGUUUUCAGUAAGGUAUUCUCUGCAAGCAGUGAAAUUGUAGGUAACAGAUAGUUUUGUGAUAUGAUAAUUUGUAAUGGGUAACAAGCAAUGAAAGUAAAUAAGGUGCAGCAAGGUGGCCCAAUCCUUUUUGUAGUGAAGGAUCGGACAAGCCUGGACAAUUUCUUAUAAUGAAAAAAGCGCUCCCGAGGACACAUGGGAAUUAUCGUCAAGCUAGUUUUCAUCACGCUCAUAUGGUUCGCGUUCAUUACUUUGAUAAUUUGAUAUGUGGGUGGACCGGUGCUUGGGUACUGCCCUUUAUUGGACAAGCAUCCCACUUAUGAUUAACCCCUAUUGCAAGCAUCCGCAACUACAAAAGAAGUAUUAAGGUAAACCUAACCAUAACAUGAAACUAGUGGAUCCAAAUCAGCCCCUUACGAAGCAACACAUAAACUAGGGUUUAAGCUUCUGUCACUCUAGCAACCCAUCAUCUACUUAUUACUUCCCAAUGCCUUCCUCUAGGCCCAAAUAAUGGUGAAGUGUCAUGUAGUCGACGUUCACAUAACACCACUAGAGGAAAGACAACAUACAUCUCAUCAAAAUAUCAUACGAAUACCAAAUUCACAUGACUACUAAUAGCAAGACUUCACCCAUGUCCUCAGGAACAAACGUAACUACUCACAAAGCAUAUUCAUGUUCAUGAUCAGAGGAGUAUUAAUAUGCAUUAAGGAUCUGAACAUAUGAUCUUCUAGCAAGUAAACCAAUUAGCAUCAACUACAAGGAGUAAUCAACACUACUAGCAACCCACAGGUACCAAUUUGUGGUUUUGAUACAAGAUUGGAUACAAGAGAUGAACUAGGGUUUUGAGAGGAGAUGGUGUUGGUGAAGAUGUUGAUGGAGAUUGACCCCCUUCCGAUGAGAGGAUCGUUGGUGAUGAUGAUGGUGAUGAUUUCCCCCUCCGGGAGGGAAGUUUCCCCGGCAGAACAACUCCACCGGAGCCCUAGAUUGGUUCUGCCAAGGUUCCGCCUCAUGGCGGCUGAGUUUCGUCCCGUGAGCUUGCUUAUGAUUUUUUCCAGGGUAAGAGCCUUCAUAUAGCAGAAGAUGGGCACCGGAGGGCCACCAGGGGGCCCACGAGACAGGGGGCACGCCUAGUAGGGGUGGGCGUGCCCCCACCCUCGUGGCCAGGGUGUGGGCCCCCUCUGGUACUUUCUUUGCUCAAUAAUUCUUAUUAAUUCCAAAAAUAACUAUCGUGGAGUUUCAGGACUUUUGGAGCUGUGUAGAAUAGGUUUCCAAUAUUUGCUCCUUUUCCAGCUAGAAUCCCAACUGCCGGCAUUCUCCCUCUUCAUGAUAAACCUUGUAAAAUAAGAGAGAAUAGCCAUAAGUAUUGUGACAUAACGUGUAAUAACAACCCAUAAUGCAAUAAAUAUCGAUAUAAAAGCAUGAUGCAAAAUGGACGUAUCAACUCCCCCAAGCUUAGACCUUGCUUGUCCUCAAACGGAAGCCAAAAUCGAAAAAUAUGUGCACAUGUUUAGAAAUAGAGGUGUCGAUAAAAAUAAAAUACGGACAUGAGGGCAUCAUGAUCAUUCUUAUAACAGCAACAUAUAUAGAUUUUGUCAUAUGAUUUCUUAUGCUCAAGUAACAAUCUGUUCACAAUGUCAAGUAUGGUUCAGAAACUUCAUUGAGAACUAACAAACUAAAAUCUUAGUCAUUGAAGCAAUUGCAAUUUAUCAUAACAUCGGAAAGAGUCAAUAAUAGAGCUUUUCAGCAAGUCCACAUACUCAACUAUCAUAUAGUCUUCUACAAUUGCUAACACUCACGCAAUACUUAUGGUUAUGGAGUUUUAAUCGGACACUGAGAAAGAUAGGGGCUUAUAAUUUCGCCUCCCAAGGUAUUCACCUUUGGGUGAUGUCAACAAUAAUAGUUCAUGCUAACUUACAUCCAAUUGGAUAUAUGUAUCAGGAUCUUUCCAACAUGAGGUGCUUGCCAAAGGAUAAAAUGAAAAAGGGAAAGGUGAAGAUCACAUUGACUCUUGAAUAAGGUAAAAGACAUGAAGUAAAAGAUAGGCACUUCGCAGAGGGAAGCAGAGGUUGUCAUGCGCUUUUAUGGUUGGAUGCACAAAAUCUUAAUGCAAAAGAACGUCACUUUAUAUUGCCACUUGUGAUAUGAACCUUUAUUAUGAAGUCCAUCGCUUUUAUUACUUCCAUAUCACACGAUCGUAUAAAGCUUAUUUUCUCCGCACUAAUAAGUCAUACAUAUUUAGAGAGCAACUUUUAUUGCUUGCAACAUGGCAACUUACUUGAAGGAUCUUACUCAAUCCAUAGGUGGGUAUGGUGGACUCUCAUGGCAAAACUGGGUUUAAGGAUAUUUGGAAGCACAAGUAGUAUCUCUACUUGGUGCAAGGAAUUUGGCUAGCAUGAGGGGGAAAGGCAAGCUCAACAUGUUGGACGAUCCGUGACAAUAUAAUUUAACUAAGAUGUGAGAAAACAUAACCCAUUACGUUGUCUUCCUUGUCCAACAUCAACUCUUUAGCAUGUCAUACUUAAAUGAGUGCUCAUAAUUAUAAAAGAUGUCCAAGAUAGUAUAUUUAUAUGUGAGAACCUCUCUUUCUUUAUUACUUCGUAUUAAUUGCAACGAUGACCAAAACUAUGUUUGUCAACUCUCAACAACUUUUAGGCCUCAUACUCUUUAUAUGUGAAGUCAUUACUAUCCAUAAGAUCAAUAUGAACUCUUUUAUUCUUUUUAUUUUCUCAAGAUCAUAGCAAGGUAGCAAAGCCCUUGACUCAACACUAAUCUUUAUUAUAUAGCUCACAGACUCGAUUACAUAAAGGGAUCACAAAGCAAAACUCAAAACUACUUCAUACCAAAACUUUAUUCUACUAGAUCAAGAUAUUACUAAAAGGACCGAACUAAGUAAAAUGGUAAAGAUAAGAGUGUGAUGGUGAUACGAUACCGGGGCAACUCCCCCAAGCUUGGCAGUUGCCAAGGGGAGUGCCCAUACCCAUGUGAUUAUGUCCUCGGAGGUGAUGAAGGUGGUGAUGAUGAUGCAGGCUUCCUCCUCAACUUGCGCUUGAGAAUGGAAUUUUGCUCCCUUAGAUCAUCGAUCUCCCGCUCAAGACUUAAUAUCCUUUUAUAUAGUUCCUAUUUUUUUCCUACAAGAGACGAAAAGGGAUAAACUCGAUCUUGGGCUUCUUUGCCCUAUCAGGGAGGCUUGACUUUUUAAACUCCACAUGCAUGUCCCUAGGUUGAGGUAACGGGACUUCGUCUUCGUCUGAGCUCGUCUCCUCCUUUCCCUUAGGGUCGUAAUCUUCUUCUUCCUCAGUGGUCCAGCCACAAUGAUCCAAGUCCCCGUAGACUUUAGGGUCUGCAAGGUAAUCAGCCACAUAACUUUCUCGUUCAAAAUCCUGGGACGACAUAUUGCUCUAAUCUACGGCAGAAACGGCUCAAAACAAAGACAAAAGAUUUUUGCGUGAUACGGUGGUCAAAACCUCUGGGAGAUUAUAUAAUGAAUUUUUACCGACCAAAAGAAGUAACAUGCAAGAAAAUGGAGUCCGGGAGGCCCACGAGGUGCCCACGAGGUAGGGGGCGCGCCCAAUAGGGGUGGGCGCGCCCUCCACCCUCGUGGAGGCCUCGUGUCCUUCCUGGAUUACUUCUUGCUUUCCUAAAUUGUUAAAAUUAUUUCAAAACAGGGAAAAAUUGCCAUUAGAACUGUUUUUAGUCGGUUUACUUACCGUACCACAUACCUAUGCCUUUUCGGAAUCUGAAACAUUCUGGAAAGUGUCCCUUAUGUAUUCCUCCAGGGUUACAGUUUCAAUAAUAUUAGUUUCAACAUUUAUAGGAUUACCUGAGAUAUAAUGUUUGAUUCUUUGACCGUUCACCACCUUCGGAUUUGUGCCUUCGAAGUUGUUGAUUUUUAUGGCACCGGAACGAUAGACCUCCUCGAUAACGUAAGGGCCUUCCCAUUUAGAGAGAAGUUUUCCUGCAAAAAAUCUUAAAUGAGAGUUGAAUAGCAACACAUAAUCACCUACGUUAAACUCACACUUUUGUAUCCUUUUGUCAUGCCAUCUUUUAACUUUUUCUUUAAACAGCUUGGCAUUCUCAUAGGCUUGGGUUCUCCAUUCAUCAAGUAAGCUAAUGUCAAAUAACCUCUUUUCACCGGCAAGUUUGAAAUCAUAGUUGAGCUCUUUAAUAGCCCAAUAUGCCUUAUGUUCAAGUUCAAGAGGUAAGUGACAUGCUUUCCCAUAAACCAUCUUAUACGGAGACAUACCCAUAGGAUUUUUAUAUGCAGUUCUAUAGGCCCACAGUGCAUCAUCAAGUUUCUUGGACCAAUUCUUUCUAGAUAUAUUAACAGUCUUUUGCAAAAUUAAUUUGAGCUCUCUAUUGCUCAAUUCUACUUGACCACUAGACUGUGGGUGAAAAGUAGAUGCAAUCCUAUGAUUAACAUCAUACUUAGCGAGCAUUUUACGGAAAGCACCAUGAAUAAAAUGUGAACCACCAUCAGUCAUUAAGUAUCUAGGGACUCCAAACCUCGGAAAAAUAACUUCUUUAAGCAUCUUAAUAGAGGUGUUAUGAUCAGCACUACUAGUUGGAAUAGCUUCUACCCACUUAGUAACGUAAUCAACAUCAACUAAAAUAUGUGUAUAUCCAUUAGAGGCAGGAAAAGGUCCCAUAUAAUCAAAGCCCCAAACAUCAAAUGGUUCAAUAACAAAAAAAUAAUUCAUAGGCAUUUCUUGACGUCUACUAAUAUUACCUAUUCUUUGACAUUCAUCACAAGACAAGACAAACUUACGGGCAUCUUUGAAGAGAGUAGGUCAAUAAAAACCGGAUUACAAUACCUUAUGUGCAGUUCUAUCUCCAACGUGGUGUCCUCCAUACGGUUCAGAGAGACACUUGCAUAGGAUUGAUACGUCUCCAACGUAUCUAUAAUUUUUGAUUGCUCCAUGCUACUUUAUCUACUGUUUUAGGCAAUAUUGGGCUUUAUUAUCCACUUUUAUAUUAUUUUUUGGGACUAACCUAUUAACCGGAGGCCCAGCCCAGAUUUGUUGUUUUAUGCCUAUUUCAGUGUUUCGAGGAAAAGGAAUAUCAGACGGAGUCAAAACGGAACGAAAUCAACUGGAGAAGUUAUUUUUGGAAGGAAACCCACCUGAUGGACUUGGACUCCACGUCAGAAGAUACGGGAGGUGCUCAUGAGGGUGGGGGGCGCGCCCACCCCCCCUGGGCGCGCCCACCCCCCCUGGGCGCGCCCCCCUACCUCGUGGGCCCCCCGUAGCUCCACCGCCGUACCCCCUGCACCCAUAUAUACUCUUAUACCCUAAAACUUCCAGAACAGAAGAUAGAUCAGGAGUUCCGCCGCCGCAAGCCUCUGUAGCCACCAAAAACCAAUCGGGACCCUGUUCCGACACCCUGCCAGAGGGGGAUCCCAUCACCGGAGGCCAUCUUCAUCAUCCCGGCGCUAUCCAUGAUGAGGAGGGAGUAGUUCGCCCUCGGGGCUGAGGGUAUGUACCAGUAGCUAUGUGUUUGAUCUCUCUCUCUCGUGUUCUCUCUCGUGUUCCCUCUAUGGCACGAUCUUGAUGUAUCCCGAGCUUUGCUAUUGUAGUUGGAUCUUAUGAUGUUUCUCCCCCUCUACUCUCUUGUGAGGAAUUGAGUUUCCCCUUUGAAGUUAUCUUAUCGGAUUGAGUCUUUUAUGAACACUUGAUGUAUGUCUUGUCGUGAUUAUCUGUGGUGACAAUGGGAUAUCAUGUGCCACUUGAUGUAUGUUUUGGUGAUCAACUUGCGGGUUUCGUGACACUUGGGAACCUAUGAAUAGGGGUUGGCACACGUUCUUGACUCUCCGGUAGUAGCUUUGGGGCGCUCUUUGAAGUACUUUUAUGUUGGUUGGAUGAAUCCGAGAUUGUGUGAUGCAUAUCGUAUAAUCAUGCCCACGGAUACUUGAGGUGACAAUGGAGUAUCUAGGUGACAUUAGGGUUUUGGUUGAUUUGCGUCUUAAGGUGUUAUUCUAGUACGAACUCUUCUAUAGAUCGAUCCGAAAGAAUAGCUUUGUGGUGGUUUCGUACCCGACCAUAAUCUCUAUGUUUGUUCUCCACUAUUAGUGGCUUUGGAGUGACUCUUUGUUGCAUGUUGAGGGCUUGUCAUAUGUUCUAUCUAUGUUAUUAUUGUUGAGAGAACUUGCACUAGUGAAAGUAUGAACCCUAGGCCUUGUUUCCUAUCAUUGCAAUACAGUUUACGCUCACUUUUACCACUUGUUACCUUGCUGUUUUUAUUAUUUUAGAUUACAAAAAUCUAUAUCUACCAUCCAUAUUGCACUUGUAUCACUAUCUCUUCGCCGAACUAGUGCACCUAUACAAUUUACCAUUGUAUUGGGUGUGUUGGGGACACAAGAGACUCUUUGUUAUUUGGUUGCAGGGUUGUUUGAGAGAGACCAUCUUCAUCCUACGCCUCCUACGGAUUGAUAAACCUUAGGUCAUCCACUUGAGGGAAAUUUGCUACUGUCCUACAAACCUGUGCACUUGCAGGCCCAACAACGUCUACAAGAAGAAGGUUGUGUAGUAGAAAUCAAGGAUCUGUUCUUGUUCAUGCUCAGGUACACAACUUCUAGUAACACCAUCUACUCCUUUAUAAAGGUGUGGGUCAUCCUAGAAGUAAUGUCUUAAAUCAUAAAAGAACUUUUUCUUUUGCUGGUAUGUGAAACUAGGUGGUAUAAAUUUAGCAACAAUGUAGUUAGCAUAAUCAGCAUACCAUGGAGCAGUAUGAGAAGCAUUAAUGACCGCUAAUUGUUCACCAGGAAAGCUAUCAUCAAUAGGUAGUGGGUCAUCAAGAACAUUCUCUAACCUAGACAAGUUGUCUGCAACGGGGUUCUCAGCUCCCUUUCUAUCAAUAAUAUGCAAAUCAAAUUCUUGGAGCAAGAGGACCCAUCUAAUAAGUCUAGGUUUAGCAUCUUUCUUUUCCAUAAGAUAUUUAAUAGCAGCAUGAUCAGUGUGAAUAGUUACUUUAGAAUCAACAAUAUAAGGUCUGAACUUAUCACAUGCAAAUACAACUACUAAGAAUUCUUUUCAGUAGUAGCAUAAUUUCUCUGGGCAGUAUCAAGAGUUUUACUAGCAUACUGGAUAACAUUUAGUUUCUUAUCAACUCUUUGUCCUAGAACAGCACCUACAACAUAAUCGCUAGCAUCACACAUAAUUUCAAAGGGUAAAUUCCAAUCAGGUGGCUGAACAAUAGGUGCAGUGGUCAAAGCUUUCUUAAGUAUUUCAAAUGCUUCUACACAAUCAUCAUCGAAAACAAAAGGAAUAUCUUUUUGCAAUAGAUUAGUCAGAGGCCUAGAGAUUUUAGAAAAGUCCUUAAUGAACCUCCUAUAAAAACCGGCAUGACCAAGGAAACUUCGUAUACCUUUAAUGUCAUUGGGACACGGCAUCUUUUCAAUAGCAUCAACUUUAGCUUUAUCAACUUCAAUACCCUUUUCAGAAAUUCUAUGCCCCAAGACAAUGCCUUCAUUAACCAUAAAGUGGCACUUUUCCCAAUUCAAGAUGAGACUAGUGUCUUCACAUCUCUGCAAAACUCGAUCAAGGUUGCUCAAGAAAUCAUCAUAAGAGGAUCCAUAAACGGAGAAGUCAUCCAUGAAUACCUCACAAAUCUUUUCACAAAAGUCAGAGAAUAUAGCCAUCAUACAUCUUUGAAAGGUAGCAGGUGCAUUACAUAAACCAAAAGGCAUACGUCUAUAAGCAAAAGUACCGAAAGGGCAAGUAAAAGUAGUUUUCGAUUGAUCGUCCGCUGACAUAGGUAUUUGAGAGAAACCAGAAUAACCAUCUAGGAAGCAGAAAUGUGUAUGUUUGGAUAGUCUUUCUAGCAUUUGAUCAAUAAAAGGUAAAGGGUAAUGAUAUUUCUUAGUAGCUUUAUUUAAUUUACGGAAAUCAAUUACCAUCCUAUAACCUGUAAUAAUUCUUUGCGGAAUCAAUUCAUCUUUAUCAUUAGGAACAAAAGUAAUACCUCCCUUCUUAGGGAUACAAUGGACAUGACUUACCCAAUCACUAUCAGCAACAGGCUAAAUUAUACCUCCCUUCUUACCACUUCUUUCAUCUUAGGAUUUAGCCAUUGUUAAUGAUCUCUAACUGGUUUGGAACCUUUGUCCAAUUUAAUUUUGUGUUGGCAUAGAGUGGGACUAAUGCCCUUAAGAUCAUCCAGAGUAUAUCCAAUAGCAACACGGUGCUUCUUCAGAGUUUUCAAUAAUCUUUCCUCUUCCUGCUCUAAAAGGUUAGCACUAAUAAUAAUAGGAUAUAUCUUCUUUUCAUCAAGAUAAGCAUAUUUAAGAUUAUCGGGUAAAGGUCUGAGUUCAAACUCGGGAUCACCCUUGGGUGGAGGAGGAUCCCCUAGGAUUUCAAUAGGCAAGUUGUGUUUCAGAAUAGGACCCUGUUGAAGGAAUACUUCAUCUAUUUCCCUUCUUUCAUUCAUAAACAUAUCAUUUUCAUGGUCUAGCAAAUAUUGUUCUAAAGGGUCAGUAGGAGGAACGGCAAUAGAAGCAAGACCAAUAAUCUCAUCCUUACUAGGCAAUUUUUUAUCAUGGGGUUGUCUACGAAACUUACCAAAAUUAAACUCAUGAGACAUUGAUACGUCUCCAACGUAUCUACUUUUCCAAACACUUUUGCCCUUGUUUUGGACUCUAACUUGCAUGAUUUGAAUGAAACUAACCCGGACUGACGUUGUUUUCAGCAGAACUACCAUGAUGCAGUUCUAUGUGUAGAAAAGAAAAGUUCUCGGAAUGUCCUGAAAAUCCACGGAGGCACUUUUUGGAAUUAAUAAGAAUUUCUGGGCGAAAGAAAUACACCAGGGGGCCCACAACCUGUCCACGAGACAGGGGGCGCGCCCCCCUAUAGGGCGCGCCCCCUAUCUCGUGGCCCCCCUGGACCUCCACUAACCUCAACUCCAACUCCAUAUAUUCACGUUCGGGGAGAAAAAAAUCAGAGGGAAAGUUUCAUCGUGUUUUACGACACGGAGCCGCCGCUAAGCCCUAAUCUCUCUCGGGAGGGCUGAUCUGGAGUUUGUUCAGGGCUUCGGAGAGGGGGAUUCAUCGCCGUCGUCAUCAUCACCCGUCCUUCGUCACCAAUUUCACGAUGCUCACUGCCGUGCGUGAGUAAUUCCAUCGUAGGCUUGCUAGACGGUGAUGGGUUGGAUGAGAUUUACCAUGUAAUCAAGUUAGUUUUGUUAGGGUUUGGUCCCUAGUAUCCACUAUGUUCUGAGAUUGAUGUCGCUAUGACUUUGCUAUGCUUAAUGCUUGUCACUAGGGCCCGAGUGCCAUGAUUUCAGAUCUGAACCUAUUAUGUUUUCAAGAAUAUAUAUGUGUGUUCUUGAUCCUAUCUUGCAAGUCUAUAGUCACCUAUUAUGUGUUAUGAUCCGACAACCCCGAAGUGACAAUAAUCGGGAUACUUCUCGGUGAUGACCGUAGUUUGAGGAGUUCAUGUAUUCACUAUGUGCUAAUGCUUUGUUCCGGUUCUCUAUUAAAAGGAGGCCUUAAUAUCCCUUAGUUUCCGCUAGGACCCCGCUGCCACGGGAGGGUAGGACAAAAGUUGUGUUUCAGAAUAGGACCUGUUGAAGGAAUACUUCAUCUAUUUCCCAUCUUUCAUUCAUAAACAUAUCAUUUUCAUGGUCUAGCAAAUAUUGUUCUAAAGGAUCAGUAGGAGGAAUGGCAAUAGAAGCAAAACCAAUAAUCUCAUCCUUACUAGGCAAUUUUUUAUCAUGGGGUUGUCUACGAAACUUAGCAAAAUUAAACUCAUGAGACAUUGAUACGUCUCCAAAGUAUCUACUUUUCCAAACACUUUUGCCCUUGUUUUGAACUCUAACUUGCAUGAUUUGAAUGAAACUAACUCGGACUGACGAUGUUUUCAGCAGAACUGCCAUGAUGUUGUUCUAUGUGUAGAAAAGAAAAGUUCUCGAAAUGUCCUGAAAAUCCACGGAGGCACUUUUUGGAAUUAAUAAGAAUUUCUGGGCGAAAGAAAUACACCAUGGGGCCCACACCCUGUCCACGAGACAGGGGGCGCCCCCGCCUAUAUGGCGUGCCCCCCUAUCUCGUGGGCCCCCUGGACCUCCACCGACCUCAACUCCAACUCCAUAUAUUCACGUUCGGGGAGAAAAAAAUCAGAGGGAAAGUUUCAUCGCGUUUUACGACACGGAGCCACCGCCAAGCCCUAAUCUCUCUCGGGAGGGCUGAUCUGGAGUCCGUUCGGGGCUCCGGAGAGGGGGAUUCUUCGCCGUCGUCAUCAUCAACCAUCCUCCAUCACCAAUUUCAUGAUGCUCACCACCGUGCGUGAGUAAUUCCAUCGUAGGCUUGCUGGACAGUGAUGGGUUGGAUGAGAUUUACCAUGUAAUCAAGUUAGUUUUGUUAGGGUUUGAUCCCUAGUAUCCACUAUGUUCUGAGAUUGAGGUUGCUAUGACUUUGCUAUGCUUAAUGCUUGUCACUAGGGCCCGAGUGCCAUGAUUUCAGAUCUGAACCUAUUAUGCUUUCAAGAAUAUAUGUGUGUUCUUGAUCCUAUCUUGCAAGUCUAUAGUCACCUAUUAUGUGUUAUGAUCCGACAACCCCGAAGUGACAAUAAUCGGGAUACUUCUCGGUGAUGACCGUAGUUUGAGGAGUUCAUGUAUUCACUAUGUGCUAAUGCUUUGUUCUGGUUCUCUAUUAAAAGGAGGCCUUAAUAUCCCUUAGUUUCCGCUAGGACCCCACUGCCACGGGAGGGUAGGACAAAAGAUGGCAUGCAAGUUCUUUUCCAUAAGCACGUAUGACUAUUUACGGAAUACAUGCCUACAUUACAUUGAUGAACUGGAGCUAGUUCUGUGUCACCCUAUGAUAUAGCUAUUACAUGAGGAAUCGCAUCCGGCAUAAUUAUCCAUCACUGAUCCAUUGCCUACGAGCUUUUCACAUAUUGUUCUUCGCUUAUUUACUUUUCCGUUGCUACUGUUACAACUACUACAAAAACCGAAAAACUAUUAUCUUUACUUUUGCUACUGUUACCUUUAUUAUCAUACUGCUUUGCUACUAAAUACUUUGCUGCAGAUACUAAGUUAUCCGGGUGUGGUUGAAUUGACAACUCAACUGCUAAUACUCAAGAAUAUUCUUUGGCUUCCCUUGUGUCGAAUCAAUAAAUUUGGGUUGAAUACUUUAUCCUCGAAAGCUGUUGCGAUCCCCUACACUUGUGGGUUAUCAAGACUAAUUUCUGGCGCCGUUGCCGUGGAGCAUAGCUCUAUUCUCUGAGUCACUUGGGAUUUAUAUCUGUUGAUCAUUAUGAAGAACUUGAAAGACGUCAGAACUACGAUUUUGCCCUCAACUACGAGGGGAGGUAAGGAACUGCCAUCUAGCUCUGCACUAGAUUCUCCUUCUGUUAUUAGUAAGCUUGCGACACCUAAACCUGCUACUACUAUGAAUUCUGAUAUGUCGCAUGUUAUUGAUGAUGCCACUUCUGCUAUGCAUGAUGAAACUACUUCUGUGCGUGAUACUACUUUGACUUUAGGUGAAUUUCUUGAUGAACAACUUGCUAGAGUUAGGGGGAAUGAAAUUAUUGAAGAUGCUAUUAUUGAUGAUAGUGAUGAUGAAAAUUCUCCCAAUGAUUAUGUAUUGCCUGUUGUUCCUGAGGGUUAUGUUAUGAAUGAAGAAGCUGCUAGAGCUAUCUUUGCUUGCAAUGAUAGAUAUGAUCUUAAGAAAUUAUUAGCUAAAUGGAAGCAGCACUCUCUUAAUGCUAGAAUGAAACCUGACCCUGCUUUUGCUACUUCACCUAUCUGUGUUACUGAUAAGGAUUAUGAAUUCUCUGUUGAUCCUGAGAUUAUUAGUUUAGUUGAAUCUGAUCCUUUUUAUGGCCUUGAAUCUGAAACUGUUAUGGCACAUCUUACCAAGUUUAAUGAUAUAGCUACCCUGUUUACUAAUGAUGAGAAGUCUCGCUAUUAUUAUAUCCUUAAGAUAUUUCCGUUCUCAUUAAAGGGUGAUGCUAAGACUUGGUAUAAUUCUCUUGCUCUUGGUUGUGUGCGUAGUCCCCAGGAUAUGAUUUAUUACUUCUCUGCUAAAUAUUUCCCUGCUCAUAAGAAACAAGCUACCUUGCGGGAAAUAUAUAAUUUUGUGCAAAUCAAAGAAGAGAGUCUCCCACAAGCUUGGGGGAGGCUUCUCCGAUUACUUAGUGCUUUGCCUGCUCAUCCUCUCAAGAAAAAUGAAAUACUUGAUAUAUUUUAUAAUGGACUAACUGAUGCUUCCAAGGACUACUUGGAUAGUUGUGCUGGUUGUGUUUUCAGGGAAAGAACAGUCGACGAGGCUGAAAUACUAUUGAAUAAUAUGUUGACUAACGAAAAUAAUUGGACUCUUCCUGAGCCAAUUCCUGAACCAAUUGAGCCAACUCCGGAGCCUAUUCCUAAACCCACUCCAAAGAAGAGAGGUGUUUUAUUUCUCAGUCCUGAAGAUAUGCAAGAGACAAAGAAAUCAAUGAAAGAAAAAGGUAUUAAAGCUGAAGAUGUUAAGAAUUUACCACCUAUUGAAGAAAUACAUGGUCUUAAUAUACCGCCUGUUGAAGAACCACAUUGCCUUGAUAACUGGACACAGGUAGUAAAGGUAAAUUCUCUCUAUAGAUAUGAUAAAGUUGAAAUCCCCUCUACUAAAUUUCAUAGCCCAUGCUUAGAUGAAUUUGAUGACUUUAUGGCUAGACAUGAAAGUUUUAAUGCUUAUGUUGCUAGAGAGAUAAAGAAUAAUGCUUUCAAGAUAGGAUGCGUGAGCGAUAAUAUGGCUAGAGUUAAAGGUGAACUCAAACUCAUUAGCAAAUAUGCUUCUAUGGUUGCUACUCAAGCUGAGCAAGUACUUAAAGCUCAAAAUGAUUUGCUUGAUGAGUUAAAUAAUAAAAAUGACUUUGCUGUUAGAGUGUCUACUAGAACUGGUAGAAUGACUCAGGAACCUUGGUAUCCUGAAGGCCACCCUAAUAGAAUCGAGCAAGAUUCUCAGAGAAACAAUUUAGAGGCACCUAGUUGUUCCAAAAAGAAGAAAAAGAAAAACGAUAGGACUUUGCAUGCUUCUAGUGAACCUACUGUAGACACACCUGAGAAUCCCAAUGAUAUUUCUAUUUCUAAUGCUGAAACACAAUUAGGUGAUGAACAUGAACCUAGUGAUAAUGUUAAUGAUAAUGUUCAUGUUGAUGCUCAACCUAGCAAAAACAAUGAAGUAGAGAUUGAACCUGUUGUUGAUCUUGAUAACCCACAAUCAAAGAAUCAACGUUAUGAUAAGAGAGAUUUUGUUGCUAGGAAGCACGGUAGAGAAAGAGAACCAUGGGUUCAGAAACCCAUGCCCUUUCCUCCUAAACCAUUCAAGACAAAGGAUGAUGAGGAUUUUGAGCGCUUUGCUGAAAUAAAUAGACCUAUUUUCUUACGUAUGCGCUUAACUGAUAUGCUUAAAGUAAAUCCUUAUUCUAAGUAUAUGAAGGAUAUCAUCACAAACAAAAGAAAAAUACCGGAAGCUGAAAUUUCCACCAUGCUUUCUAAUUACACUUUUAAGGGUGGAAUACCAAAGAAACUUGGAGAUCCGGGUGUACCAACCAUACCAUGCUCCAUUAAAAGAAAUUAUGUUAGAACUGCUUUAUGUGAUCUUGGAGCCGGUGUUAGUGUUAUGCCUCUCUCUUUAUAUCGUAGGCUUGAACUGAAUAAGUUGACACCUACUGAAAUAUCUUUGCAAAAUGGGUGAUAAAUCAACUGCUAUACCUGUCGGUAUUUGUGAGGAUGUGCUUGUUGUGGUUGCAAAUGUCACUAUCUUAACGGACUUUGUUAUUCUUGAUAUUCCUGAGGACGAUAGUAUGUCUAUUAUCCUUGGUAGACCUUUUCUUAAUACUGCAGGGGCUGUUAUUGAUUGCAACAAAGGCAAUGUCACUUCUCAUGUUAAUGGUAAUGAGCAUACGGUACACUUUCCGAGGAAAAAAAUCUCAAGUUCAUAGCAUCAAUUCUAUUGGAAAAAUUUCAACUAUUAUUAUUGGAGGUUUUGAAUUUCCUCUCCCUACUGUCAAGAAAAAGUAUGAUAUUCUUAUUUUUGGGGGUUUUCAUAUCCCCGUUGAGGUAACUUAGUAUUAUUCGAAAUUUCUCCGGUUUCGUGUUAUUCGGAAUGAGUUUGUUAACAAGACUUGAUCAACCUUGUUAGUGGAUUCAUUUUGAUGAUCAUGAUAUGUAUGAAACUAGAAGGCACAACCGUCUAUACCCACUUUUUACUUUCUGUUAUUUAGAAUAAAAAAAGCAAAAAUAUUAUUAUCUGUCUGUUUUCUGAAUUAUCUGUGCAUUAAAAAAUAUCCCGAAAAUAAAAGUGCUCCAAAUGCCCUGCAAAUCUAGUAUGAUUUUUUAUGGAAUAUUUGAGGAUUUUAGGCACUGAAAACACUGCAGGAGGGGCAAGCACCAGGCCACGAGAGUGGAGGGCGCGCCCCCCUGAUACGUCUCCAACGUAUCUACUUUUCCAAACACUUUUGCCCUUGUUUUGGACUCUAACUUGCAUGAUUUGAAUGAAACUAACCCGGGCUGACGUUGUUUUCAGCAGAACUAACAUGAUGUAAUUUUAUGUGUAGAAAAGAAAAGUUCUCGGAAUGUCCUGGAAAUCCACGGAGGCACUUUUUGGAAUUAAUAAGAAUUUUUGGCGAAAGAAUUAAUGCCAGGGGGCCCACGGCCUAUCCAUGAGACAGGGGGCGCCCCCCCCCUAGGGCACGACCUCCUAUCUCGUGGGCCCCCUGGACUUCCUCCGACCUCAACUCCAACUCCAUAUAUUCAGGUUCGGGGAGAAAAAAAUCAGAGGGAAAGUUUCAUCGCGUUUUACGACACGGAGCCACCGCCAAGCCCUAAUCUCUCUCGGGAGGGCUGAUCUCGAGUCCGUUCAGGGCUCUGGAGAGGGGGAUUUGUCGCCGUCGUCAUCAUCAACCAUCCUCCGUCACCAAUUUCAUGAUGCUCACCGCCGUGCGUGAGUAAUUCCAUCGUAGGCUUGCUGGACGGCGAUGGGUUGGAUGAGAUUUACCAUGUAAUCAAGUUAGUUUUGUUAGGGUUUGAUCCCUAGUAUCCACUAUGUUCUGAGAUUGAUGUUGCUUUGACUUUGCUAUGCUUAAUGCUUGUCACUAGGGCCCGAGUGCCAUGAUUUCAGAUCUGAACCUAUUAUGUUUUCAAGAAUAUAUAUGUGUUCUUGAUCCUAUCUUGCAAGUCUAUAGUCACCUAUUAUGUGUUAUGAUCCGACAACCCCGAAGUGACAAUAAUCGGGAUACUUCUUGGUGAUGACCGUAGUUUGAGGAGUUCAUGUAUUCACUAUGUAUGCUUUGUUCCGGUUCUCUAUUAAAAGGAGGCCUUAAUAUUCCUUAGUUUCCGUAAGGACCCCGCUUCCACGGGAGGGUAGGACAAAAGAUGUCAUGCAAGUUCUUUUCCAUAAGCACGUAUGACUAUUUACGGAAUACAUGCCUACAUUACAUUGAUGAAUUGGAGCUAGUUCUAUAUCACCCUAUGUUAUAACUAUUGCAUGAGGAAUCACAUCCGGCAUAAUUAUCCAUUACUGAUCCAUUGCCUACGAGCUUUUCACAUAUUGUUCUUCGUUUAUUUACUUUUCCGUUGCUACUGUUACAACUACUACAAAAACCCAAAAACAUUUAUCUUUACUUUUGCUACCGUUACUAUUAUUAUAAUACCACUUUUGCUACUAAACACUUUGCUGCAGAUACUAAGUUAUCUAGGUGUGGUUGAAUUGACAACUCAACUACUAAUACUCAAGAAUAUUAUGUGGCUCCCCUUGUGUCGAAUCAAUAAAUUUGGGUUGAAUACUUUACCCUCGAAAGCUGUUGCGAUCCCCUACACUUGUGGGUUAUCAAGACUAAUUUCUGGCGCCGUUGCCGGGAAGCAUAGCUCUAUUCUCUGAGUCAGUUGGGAUUUAUAUCUGUUGAUCACUAUGAAGAACUUGAAAGAUGCUAAGACCAAGAUUUUGCCCUCAACUACGAGGAGAGGUAAGGAACUGCCAUGUAGCUCUGCACUAGAUUCUCCUUCCGUUAUAAGUAAGCUUGCGACACCUAAACCUGCUACUGCUAUGAAUUCUGACAUGUCGCAUGUUAUUGAUGAUGCCACUUCUGCUAUGCAUGAUGAAACUACUUCUGUGCGUGAUACUACUUUUCCAUUAGGUGAAUUUCUUGAUGAACAACUUGCUAGAGUUAGGGGGAAUGAUAUUACUGAAGAACCUAUUAUUGAUGAUAGUGAUGAUGAAGGUUCCCCCAUUGAUUAUGUAUUACCUGUUGUUCUGAAGGGUUAUGUUAUGAAUGAAGCAGCUGCUAUGGGAAUUCUUGCUUGCAAUGAUAGAAAUGAUCUUAAGAAAUUAUUAGCUAAACGGAAGCAGCAGUCUCUUAAUGCUAGAAUGAAACCCAAUCCUGCUUUUGCUAGUUCACCUAUCUGUGUUACUGAUAAGGAUUAUGAAUUCUCUGUAGAUCCUGAGAUUAUUACUUUAGUUGAAUCUGAUCCUUUUUAUGGCCUUGAAUCUGAAACUGUUGUGGCACAUCUUACCAAGUUGAAUGAUAUAGCCACCCUGUUUACUCAUGAUGAGAAGUCUCGCUAUUUAUAUAUCCUUAAGAUAUUUCCGUUCUCAUUAAAGGAUGAUGCUAAGACUUGGUAUAAUUCUCUUGCUCCUGGUUGUGUGCGUAGUCCCCAUGAUAUGAUUUAUUACUUCUUUGCUAAAUAUUUCCCUGCUCAUAAGAAACAAGCUGCCUUGCAGGAAAUAUAUAAUUUUGUGCAAAUUAAAGAAGAGAGUCUCCCACAAGCUUGGGGGAGGCUUCUUCGGUUACUUAAUGCUUUGCCUGAUCAUCCUCUUAAGAAAAAUGAAAUACUUGAUAUCUUUUAUAAUGGACUAACCGAUGCUUCCAAGGACUACUUGGAUAGUUGUGCUGGUUGUGUUUUCAGGGAAAGAACGAAGCUAAAAUAUUACUGAAUAAUAUGUUGACUAAUGAAAAUAAUUGGACUCUUCCCGAGCCAAUUCCUGAAGUAAUUCCUGAACCAAUUGAGCCAACUCCAGAGCCUAUUCCUAAACCCACUCUGAAGAAGAGAGGUGUUUUAUUUCUCAGUCCUGAAGAUAUGCAAGAAGGAAAUAAAUCAAUGAAAUAAAAAGGUAUUAAAGCUGAAGAUGUUAAGAAUUUACCACCUAUUGAAGAAAUACAUGGUCUUAAUAUACCGCCUGAAGAACCAUAUUGUGUUGAUAACCCGACACAGGUAGUAAAGGUAAAUUCUCUCUAUAGAAAUGAUAAAGUUGAAAUACCCUCUACUAAAUUUCAUAGCCCAUGCUUAGAUGAAUUUGAUGACUUUAUGGCUAGACAAGAAAGUUUUAAUGCUUAUGUUGGUAGAGAGUUAAAGAAUAAUGCUUUCGAGAUAGGACGCGUAGGCGAUAAUCUGGCUAGAGUUAAAGAUGAACUUCACCGCGUUAGCAAAUAUGCUUCUACGGUUGCUACUCAAGCUGAGCAAGUACUCAAAGCUCAAAAUGAUUUGCUUGAUGAAUUAAAUAAUAAAAAUGACUUUGCUGUUAGAGUGGCUACUAGAACUGGUAGAAUGACUCAGGAACCUUUGUAUCCUGAAGGCCACCCUAAGAGAAUCGAGCAAGAUUCUCAAAGAAAUAAUUUAGAGGCACCUAGUUCUUCUAAGAAGAAGAAAAAGAAAUACGAUAGGACUUUGCAUGCUUCUAGUGAACCUAUCGUAGACACACCUGAGAAUCCCAAUGAUAUUUCUAUUUUCGAUGCUGAAACUCAAUCAGGUGAUGAACAUGAAACUAGUGAUAAUGUUAAUGAUAAUGUUCAUGUUGAUGCUCAACCUAGCAAAAACAAUGAUGUAGAGAUUGAACCUACUGUUGAUCUUGAUAACCCACAAUCAAAGAAUCAAUGUUAUGAUAAGAGAGAUUUUGUUGCUAGGAAGCAUGGUAAAGAAAGAGAACCAUGGGUUCAGAAACCCAUGCCCUUUCCUCCUAAAUCAUCCAAGUCAAAGGAUGGUGAGGAUUUUGAGCGCUUUGCUGAAAUGAUUAGACCUAUUUUCUUACGUAUGCGCUUAACUGAUAUGUUGAAAGUAAAUCCUUAUGCUAAGUAUAUGAAGGAUAUCAUUACAAAUAAAAGAAAGACACCGGAAGCUGAAAUUUCCACCAUGCUUGCUAAUUACACUUUUAAGGGUGGAAUACCAAAGAAACUUGGAGAUCCGGGUGUGCCAACUAUACCAUCCUCCAUUAGAAGAAAUUAUGUUAGAACUGCUUUAUGUGAUCUUGGAGCCGGCGCUAGUGUUAUGCCUCUCUCUUUAUAUCGUAGACUUGAAUUGAAUAAGUUGACACCUAAUGAAAUAUCUUUGCAAAUGGCUGAUAAAUCAACUGCUAUACCUGUCGGUAUUUGUGAGGAUGUGCCUAUUGUGGUUGCAAAUGUCACUAUCUUAACGGACUUUGUUAUUCUUAAUAUUCCCGAGGACGAUAGUAUGUCUAUUAUCCUUGGUAGACCUUUUCUUAAUACUGCAGGGGCUGUUAUUGAUUGCAACAAAGGCAAUGUCACUUUUCAUGUUAAUGGUAGUGAGCAUAUGGUACACUUCCCGAGGAAGCAAUCUCAAGUUCAUAGCAUCAAUUCUAUUGAAAAAGUUCCAACUAUCAUUUUUGGAGGUUUUGAAUUUCCUCUUUAAGAAAAAGUAUGAUAUUCUUAUUGUUGGGGAUUUUCAUAUCCCCGUUGAGGUAACUUAGUGUUAUUCGAAAUUUCUCCGGUUCCGUGUUAUUCGGAAUGAGUUUGUUAAUAAGACUUGAUCAACCUUGUGAGUGGGUUCAUUUUGAUGAUCACGAGAUGGAUGAAACUAGAAGGCACAACCUUCUGUACCCUCUUUUUACCCUCUGUUAUUUAGAUUAAAUAAAGCAAAAAUAGUAUUAUCCGUUUGUUUUCUGAAUUAUCCGUGCAUUAAAAAAAUAGUCCAAAAAUAAAAGUGCUCCAAAUGCCCUGCAAAUUUAGUAUGAUUUUUUCUAGAAUAUUUGAGGAUUUUAGGCACUGAAAACACUACAGGAGGGGCAAGCACCAGGCCACGAGAUAGGAGGGUGCGCCCCCCUAUAGGGCGCGCCCCCUGUCUCGUGGGCCCCUAGUGGCCCCCUCCACUUAUGCCAGCACCCACACAGUUCAUCUUCUACCCAAAAAAAUCCCCAUCCAGCUCAAGCACGAGUUCUAGCUCGUUUUGCUGCGGUUUUCGAUCUCUUAGCUCAAAGCUCCAUUCACAAAACUGCUUUGGGACAUUGUUGCUUGGUAUGUGACUCCUCCAUUGGUCCAAUUAGUUUUUGUUCUAGUGCUUUAUUCAUUGCAAAUUUUUGCUGCUUAGGUGACCAUGUUCUUGAGCUUGCAUGUUAAAUUUUUGAGGUCCCAAGCAAUUCCAAUGCAUGAUAUAGGCUCUAGGCACUUGUAGGAGUAGUUGCUAUCAAUCUUGUUUAGUUUUAUUCACUUUUAUUUUGAAGUUACUAAAAUUUCAGAAAUUUUCAGGAAAUGUUAAGCAGGCUCUUUAAAGGCUCUUCUAGCCAAAGCUCUCAGGAAAAACAAGCCAAAGAGAAGGAAAAGGCCAAGUAUAAUCUUCCUCGCUUAGCGGAAGUACGGUCAUGUGAAUGGCCAUGCGAGGAUUUCUUGAAAGAAGCCAGAAUUCAUGAAGACUUUUAUGCUUAGUCGAGACUGCAGGCCUCACCGGUUUUAUCAACGACUGAAUCGAUCAGUAUCUCUUACUUACCAAUACUUUCGUGCAAAACUUUUAUUAUUAUCCUAAGAAAUCACCGCCUGCAGUAUCAUUUCAUUUAUAUGAUGAAUUCAAAGAAAUGUCUUUACGUUAUUUUUGCACGGUAUCUAGGAUACCUUAUGAGGGAGAAUUAGAUGAACCCCAUCGUGAUGAUGUGGGUGGCUUUGUUAAUACUAUUGCUGUAGAGGAGCCAAAGAAGGGCUCCGAGGCGAAGGUCUCUAGCAUACACUUUCCUGUUUUACGCUAUUUUGCUAUAUUUGCUAGUAGAUGCUUGAUUGGUCGUGGAAAUAGUGGGAAUUUGAGCGUUCCUGAUAUUAUCAUUAUUCAACAUGCUUUGCUUGGGGACAAUACUUUUAGUAUGGGUGCCGUCGUUGCUAAACGGCUAGCCUUGAAUCGUACAAAAGGUCCCAUAUUUGGAGGUAUCUAUGCUGCACGUCUUGCUAAAUAUUUUCAGAUACCCAUUAGGCACCAUGAGGAGGAUGAGAUAAAAUUGCAUCCUCACAUUUAAGAUUACAAGAGCAUGGUAGCACACAAGUUUAUUGUUGACAACGAAGAAAAGAUGCUCUUGUAUAAACUUAGAUUUAAUAAGAAACACAUUGAGAUUAUUAUUUUGCCUGCGCCUCUGUUGUUUGAUUUGCUUGCAGAAAAUCGUCUUGUCACGCCGGAAGCGGUGAACAACCAUCUAGCCCAAGCUUUCACUCCAGAACCUGAACCUGAGCCGGAACCUGAAUUGGACCCUUAUCGUGCAUCAUCUGUCCAGUGGGAUCCAGAGAUGACCAACCAGUGGUAUCCUGAUUACACCUCCCACUACACCGGGGAGAGUAGCGGCGGUCCUUGGUACUAGACCAACUUAGGCCAAAAGCCUAAGCUUGGGGGAGUACGUAUUUCUCACCGACUUUACAUUCAUGUUCACACACUAGUCGUCGGUGCUCAUACUCUUUCAUUGUAUUAUCCAUGCUAGUUUAAAUUUCUUUUUCUAGUUUUCUUCUUAUGUGUUUGAUAAACCUUAAGAAAAAACAAAAAAAA